UUUUUUGUAUAUUAGUUUAUUCAAUUUGCAAAAUUACUUUCAUGUAAAUCAAGUUUACAAAGUCCAUUAAGUAAUAUUUCAAUUAUGUACAAAAUAUUAUUAUUAUAAAUAGAACAACAAUUAUUCUUAAAUAUAAUACACCAAUUUUUGUUGUCGAGGGUUCUAAGUAGGGUAAAGAGAGAAUCUCCUCAUUCUCUCUAAUAAACCCCCCUCCUGCUGCCUCCUUCAUCUUCUCCGGCACCCUCCUCUCCCCUCUCCUUCUUGCGGCCCACCUACUCUUUUUUAAGUUUAGAUCUGAUCUUGAUGGGGCUUGGGGUUCUUUUGGGUUGUUUGGAUCCUCCAUUUUCCAUUUCGGGCUUUGUUUUCUCAUCUGGCCAACCCGCCUCCUCCUUCCUCCCUCCUCCUCCCUUUGGCCCACCACCCCUUCCACUUCCUCCGAUCACCACUGAAAUCCUUCCCAAGUUCUGUUAUAGCCUUUCUGGCUGCUGUUUCAUGGACCUGCUCGAACCUCCUUUUCCGAUCUGAGCUAUGCCAAGUCCGAGGGUUGCUAGAUUGUGGUUUUUCUUGUGCGAUUAGUAGAGGGCUUCGUUUCUGUGUGUGCUAGAGGUGGAGUCAUGAUCUGAAGUGAUGGACCUUUUGGGGUUUUUGGAUUGAGGUUCCGGAUCUUGAUGGAAAUCUCUAGGUCUUUUGGCUCUGGCGGUUACGGAUAUUUGGCUGAUCUGGGCUUUCGGCUCUCAUGGAGGCUUCCCCCUACUGAUAAUUUUUCGGAUUAACUGCCUUAUCCUCUUGAGUUAUCAUUUUAGGUGUUAUUGUUAGAUCUAUUUAUUUCAUUCAAAGGGAUUUAACUGAUUUAGGCAUCUUGCAUAUUUGAUGGCGAUUUACUCAGAUAUUGGAUGUCUUGCUAGUUAUUGUCUUUUGGGGAUAAUUUGGUCUCCUUUGUCAAUUGUCGGUGUUUGUUUGGCCGGAUUCUGGUGUCUGGUUGGAUAUGUGCUACUCCUUUUAUGCUUGCAGGCGUUCAUGGUGUUCGACGACUAUUUCGUUGCAGCAGUGAUUUUCCGGUGGCUGGUUUUCCUGUUCAAGACCUUUACCGGCUUUGGACGGUAGCUGCACUGGCCCAUCUUUGGCAGUGUGUAACUGUUCUUGGACAGCACAAUUGGGGACCACACAAAUUUGAAAUGUUGAUGCACACGGUGGUCCGAUUGUAGCACAUGUGUUUGGUGGCACUCAGUUUCCUAUGGCAAAGUGUUGCUGGUGUUGGGCUGAUGUAAGUGGGGUCCACGGUUGGCAAUUUGUGCCUUGUGGGCUGCCCCUCUUGGGCUGAUGCACUUACCUACUGAUGUAUUUCGCAGCUAGUCCAUUGUAAACAAAUGGGUCCCAGUGUGAUCCUUUUGUUUGCAGUAUAUUAUGUUUUGUUUCAAUUACAUAGCCUCAGGUUGUGAGGAAAAUGUAUUAAGGUUACAUAAUUUGUUUCCUAUUAUUUCUAGGUGUUUUAGCCCUCUUGGGAGAAGAGGACUAUGAUUUGAUCUUCAUUGUAAUAUCCAAAGGUUUUGGUUAUUUAAUAUACAAACAAAUUUAGCAAAAAAAUUAAAAUUUUGGAAAUAAUGUUUUAACGAGAACUGAAAUACAAUAUCUUAUUGAAUUAAUAGAUUUGCUCGUAAGCAAUGCUAAACUAUAAGUUUAUAUGGUUAAUGUAGCAACAUUUGCUUCAUUUCUUACAUAUAGGAUUACUUAUCUCUUGUUUAGCUUUCUUCUUUUACUUGGUCCUUUCAUAAAUCUAUAUUUAUAAGAACCAAAGCCAGUAUCCAAUACUCAAGUAGAACCUUGACUUAAAGAAAAUUUAUUUUAAUCAUGAACAAACCUGUAUACGUAACCAAAGAUUCACUAAGCUUCUUCUGGUUAGCCUCUGCAAGAUGCUUCUCACAGUUUCUUACAAAUGUCCAGGCUUAUUGCAGUGGAAGCAAACUCCUUUGUUAUCCGUAUCAGUAUUAGUAUUGUUCUUAUUAUCCUUUAUUUUUUUUCUUUUUAUUUACCUUCUUUGAAUCGUUCUUCUUUUUAGAAGAUCAUUUGGCCCCUACCAGUAAGACUUGGUCUUUUUUGGUUCGAAAGUGACUCUCAGCAUUUUUCAACAUGUUAAGCAAAUCAGCGAGACAAUCUAGCCCGUUCAUAUGAAAAAUUCACAAUAAUUGUGAGAAGGAGUCCGGGAGUGAGUGCAAGAUCAAAUCUUGGCUCACUCUCUAUCCAUGACAAAACCUGGUGUCCUAAUUAUCCAAUCAAAUUGAUCAUGUUAAGGAGUUUUUUCUAUACUGUAGUGCCUCGGUCAUUCUAGAAUUAGAAGAGCUCCUUAGAUAUCUUAUAUCUAUUAGUCCUACUUUCCUCACCAUCAACUACUUGAUGUGCAGGAAUAUAGUAAGAGCAUUCAUAGUUUCAUGUUGACGCUGAAGUUUGUUACUCAUGGAUGCAAGAAUGAUGAGCCAACUGUGCAUCAUCUUGCAACUUUUUAAAAGUAGCAAUCUUUUCCUCAAAGGCAUUGUCUGCAACCAUUGUAGGGAUAGGCAUAUUAAAGAAAUAAGAUAGUUUUUCAGUCGUGAGAACUAUUCUCAAUUUCCUUAACUAAUUCAUUUAAUUCAGUUCGAUUAAUUAGCAUCUAAUAUGCUCUGUAGUGAUAGUAAUUUAGACAUUGUAAAAUUUUAUAAAUGAACCUCACUUAUAUAGCUCGACAAAAUCUAAUUAGAGAUUUGCUAGCGAGAAUAAGAAUCCCAAUUUCAAAUGUAUAUAGUCUUGUGGUGACACAACAAACUAUAUAUAAAUAAAUAGGUAGACAACCAUUGCCAAUUACAUCAUCAUGUAACUACUUUUAUUUUGCCUCUUAGAUUAUUUUGAUCAAGUGGUGUCACAUCCGAAUCAAAAUUAUCCAAGUUAUGUGACACCCCUAAAUCCGGGUACUCCAUUCCCACAGGAAUUGGUGCUCACUAUCCAAAAUAAUCACAUCCAACUACCCAUAAUCUAGGAUAAAGACAUAAAUUAAAAAUCUUAAACAAUAAUCCUCCCCAUUAAAGAGUUACAGCAACUUAAAACAAAUUCCAGGUAAUCUAACCUUAAAUUAUUAUAUAAGUUUGCGGAAUACAUCAUAUAAUUAAAUAAGUCUUAUAACAUAGAUUCCAUUAAAUACAAUUAAACAAGUUUUCAUCAUUUGGACAUCUUGCCCUUGCCCUUGCUAAUAGACGACUUGUCAACUUUCUCAACUUUAGUUGCAAUGUAUAUGCAAGAGUGAGCAAACAAUUGCUCAAAAAUAUAAUGAUGACAAUAGAAAUAUCAUAGGAGUAAGCAAUGAAUACUGAAUAGUAAAGAAAUCGUUCUUUGAAUCAAGAUUAGAAAACAAGUUCGAGAUUUAUAUCUGAGGAUCUUAAGACCAUGAACUAUGUCCCAGAUUACUAAGUAUUUCUACCUCAACCUUUAAUAGUCAUUAGACUAUAAGGACCUUUCCUAUCGUAAUUAGGGGGAUCAACCCUUCAUACCAAGUAUUGUGAACAAACAUCUAAAUGCUAACGCGUAAAUAAUCCCCUAUAUUAGGGUUGUUCAUCUUAGUUUGACUUAAGAUUUCCGCACUAAAGAAAGUUUAGUUUGGAUUAGCUUAAUAAUGGUUCUAGAAUUUUAGAACGCUCAUCAACUAUGGACUAGUCAAUUCAAUAGAGGUUUUGUUGACUUAUGUCACACUCCAUGUUUUGAUGAUGACUCGAUUAUUUCUAAUCAAUGCUAUAUUAUUUCAGGGAAAGAUAUGGAACUUCAGAAAACGUCAAGGAAGAAGUUACAAAGCCAAGACAUCCUUGAAGAAAGAAAAGCAAAUUUGAGUCCUAGGAAUAUAUGUAAGAUCUUAGCAUUUAUUGCUUUCCAAAAUAAGGCUCUAGGACAUGUGCAUUACAUAAAUUGUAUUCUCACACUUAGUACCACGUGCUAAGUCACUUGCACUAAUAUACAUGGGCCGGUAUCCCAUUAAUUUUAGUAAAUAUCAUACAAUCAUCUUGACAUAUCUUAAAUCAUGCGAACUGACUAAAGAAACGAGUUGAUUGAAUAAUUUUCCACAAGUUAUAUAGCAGUAAUCAUGCUCCAUAAAUCUCGCCCCAUAAAUUCUAGUGAUUCACAUGGGCGAAAAUAUAUGGUUAGAUGUGGACACCGGCCAGCAGGUAUAAAAGGUAAGCAUAAAUCAAUGACAUUAUAGAUUCUCUAUUAAUUCACGCUGCACAGAUCAUGCUCAUAAAUUAAGCAUCUUAAUUCUAGGAAAUUAAUUUAGGUGCGUGUAUUAACAGACUCUGCAGAAAUCAAGGGUCAUGAUUUGAGAAAUCCAAUUGGCCAAAUCUAACAGUCCAAUGAAUGCUCAGUAAUAUGGGAACAUGGCAGGAAAUAUUUAUGGUAAUCCUAGAAGUUGACUUCCGGCAUUUUAGAAAUUGGACCGUAGAAAUCUGCAAAUAGAAAUCAUUUAGCCGAAAGUCACUGAUAGCAUGAUAUCUCAGAAUCUCUGUGAUGGAAAACAAAUUAAGUAUAUCAUGAUUCACGAAGGACAUUAAGAUUCAUGCAAAAUGUUAGCAACGGAACUAUUUGGGAGACGUCUAUAUAAACUGAGCUCUUUCACAAAUACAGACACGAAAAACAUACACAGAAACUGAUAAGCUUACAAGAUACGAGAUUGUUUUUCAUUGAGAUAGACAUUGAAUAACAGAGUUGCUGCUGCUUAAAUAUUCCGGUAACAUUCAUCUUGCAUAUCAUUUCAUACUGAAGCCUUGAGUUGGUGAGUAAUAUAUUGCUUGAUCAUUAGACCUCUAGUGUGUAUUUUUCAUUUCCUAUCUCAGUAAAUAUUACAUAUAAAUCUGUCUUGAAUUGCUGAUUUCUUACAAUCAAGUAUAAAGAAAGCAUAGGUGCUUAAGUGUGCAUAGGUGCACAGGGAACACAAGUGUUCAGGUUAUUAGAACUUGUAUUGUAAUUGGAAGAGUUUAAUAAAAGUGAGUCUCCAAUACUAGUUGGUAUUGGACGUAGACUAGACUACUAUUCUAGAGGGUAGUAGUUGAACCACGUAAAAAUUCUGGUGUUGGUGUGAUUGCUUUCUGUGAGUCUAUUUUGCUUUUCUAUCCAGCUGCCUGCCUUAGUAAAAUCAUCUAACUCAAUAAUAUCCUAAUUUGGUAAUCCAGCUUGCUGCAUUAAAAAUAAAAAUUGAACAUAGUUUGUACCUACACUUAUUCAACCCCCCUUCUAAGUGUAUCUAUUUAAAUUUCAUUUGGCAUCAGAGCUUGGCUCUACUUAUCUUGGUCUUAAAGGUGACUUGUAGGGAAAGAUUCUGACAUGGCACAACUUGGAAGCACUCAUCACGAGGGACAAUCAACAAACCGACCUCCACUACUCUUUGGAACUGAAAACUAUAACUUUUGGAAAUUUUAGAUGAGGAUCUAUCUAAAACGAGACCCAUGGGAAUGGUGGGUGGUAGAGAAUGGACCGGUAAUCCCAAGGAAAGAUGAUGGUACUCCAAAAACUCUACUCGAGAUGGACUCAACCGAAACUUAUAUGGUGUCAUAUGAUUCAAAGGCAAUGAACACUCUCCUCAGCGGCAUGGUGCAAUCCGAAAUAGAUAAAGUGUCAUCAUGUAAAACAUCAAAAGAGAUUUGGGACACCUUAGUUGUAAGUCAUGAAGGAACGUCUAAAGUACGAGAAGUCAAGCUAAGUAUGCUCAUGCAUGACUACGAAUUGUUCAAACUGGAAAAAGAGGAAACGAUCAAAAUGGCCCAAGCACGAUUUCUAGUACUGUUAAAUUCCUUAAAGUUACUUGACAAGACAAUCCCACAAAGUGAAAUCAAUCGUAAGCUACUUCGGGCCAUGCCCAAAAGGUUUGCAUCUAAAAUUACCACUCUUCAAGAUUCCCUCAAUAUUUCUUCUAUGGAUACAUUAACUCUCUUUGGUGAACUAGAAGAAUAUGAACAUCAAUUAAAAAUAUAUGAUGACGAGGAAGAAGUUCCUCGAAAGAAAGUGUUAGCUCUAAAUGCAGGAAUUGAAGAACUCGAAAAUAACUCGGAUGAUGAAAUAGCCAUGAUGUAAAGGAGACUUAAGGGGCUACUUCAAAGGAAGAAUCAACGGAAAAAUACUUUCAAUACAAACAAAUACAAACCAAAGCCAACCGAGGAAACAUGUUUCGAGUGUGGACGACCAGGUCAUUUCAAAAAGGAUUGCUUCCAACUCAAAAACAAAGGAAAGCAAGGCAACAAGGAGUUCAAAAAGCACAAAGCAUUUCUAACAUGGAGUGAUGAUGAAGAAUCCGAAGUGGAAAUAGAUGCAAACGAUGAACUAGCGCAAAUAUGCUUUAUGGGAAUUGAAGGUGAAUCUAGUAAGGUACCUCUUUCUGAUAGUAUUACUUUGAAACAAGAAAAUGAAAAAUUAAAAGAAAAAAACAUGUACUUAAAAGAUCUAGUAAACACACUAAUGAGCGAAGUGGAGGCACUCAUAGAUGAAAAGAAAGAUUUUGAAAAAUCUACACACACGAAUGAGGAAAAGAUUUUAUCAGCAAAAAAUGAUUAUUUAGAAAAUUUCAAUAAAAUAUUGUUCAACAAGGUUAAACAUCUAAAUAAUGAAGUUGAAAAAUUAAAGAAGGAGAUAGAGAUGAGAGAUGCGUGCAUUGAUGCUUUUGGCGAUGAAUCUAGUAAUAAAACUCCUCCGACUAAUAACCUACAAAAGGAAAUAGAGUCUUUAAAAACCUCUUUAGCUAAAUUCAUUCAUGGGGAAGAAAACUUAAAUGUUAUGCUAGGAAAACAAAGACCCAGUUACAAUAAACAAGGCAUAGGCUACAGUCCAACUCAUAGGAAAGAAGUUGAAAUGAUAAAAUCUAAAUCAUCAUUCAAAUUGAAUUACUGCACACCUUUUACGUCUUGCAAAAAAUGUGGCAUUAAAGGACACCUAGAGAUAAACUGCUCAAGAAAGAAAAGUUUAAGUAAAACCGUAUGGAUUAAGAAAAGUGAUUUGAUGUCAACUAACACAAGUGGACCCAUAAAGAUAUGGGUACCAAAAAUAUAAAUUGUAUCUCUAUCAUACAGGUUUGACUUAAAGCCAAAGUAUCUUCUCAAAAGUUGAGGCUUGAUAGCGGAUGUUCACGCCAUAUGACGGGAGACAAAUCUAAGUUCGUGAAACUAAAUGUCAACAAGAAACAUGGAACUGUUAUAUUCGGUGAUAAUCGAUCAUGCGAAAUAAUUGGAAAAGGUAAAAUCGGUAAUGGUAAGGUUAACAUUAAUAAUGUUCAUCUUGUUAAUGGUCUAGAAUUCAAUCUUAUCAGUGUUAGUCAAUUAAUGGAUAAUGGUCAUCAAGUAAAGUUUGAAAAAGAUAAAUGUACAAUUUCACAUGGUACUAACAAAGCUGCUCUAGUUGCCCAAAGGGAAGGGAAUAUAUAUACGCUUGAUUUUGAGAAACAGGAAGAAGAGUUAUGUCUUGCAACCAUUCAAGAUGAAGCAAAUAUAUGUUAUAGAAGGAUGGGACAUGUUCAUAUGGAUCUAAUCAAGAAGUUGUCAACAAAGAACCUAGUACGAGGAUUACCCAAAAUGAAUUUCGAAAAGAAAGGUAUCUGCGAACCUUGUCAACUUGGAAAACAAGUAAGAACGUUAUUCACAGCUAAAAACAUGGUAUCAACUUCUUCUCCCUUACAAUUGCUUCACCUCGAUUUUUUAGACCUGAAAGGCAUGCUAGUCUAAAUGGAAAAUUCUAUGCUUUUGUAAUAGUCGAUGAUUUCUCUAGAUAUACAUGGGUAUUAUUCCUUAGAACAAAAGAUGAGGCAUUUAAGGAGUUUGAAAAACUGAUUAAAAAUUUGGAGACCAAAUAUAGUCUUAAUCUUAUUAGAAUCAGAAGUGACCAUGGUACCGAAUUUCAAAAAGACUUUNNNNNNNNNNNNNNNNNNNNNNNNNNNNNNNNNNNNNNNNNNNNNNNNNNNNNNNNNNNNNNNNNNNNNNNNNNNNNNNNNNNNNNNNNNNNNNNNNNNNNNNNNNNNNNNNNNNNNNNNNNNNNNNNNNNNNNNNNNNNNNNNNNNNNNNNNNNNNNNNNNNNNNNNNNNNNNNNNNNNNNNNNNNNNNNNNNNNNNNNNNNNNNNNNNNNNNNNNNNNNNNNNNNNNNNNNNNNNNNNNNNNNNNNNNNNNNNNNNNNNNNNNNNNNNNNNNNNNNNNNNNNNNNNNNNNNNNNNNNNNNNNNNNNNNNNNNNNNNNNNNNNNNNNNNNNNNNNNNNNNNNNNNNNNNNNNNNNNNNNNNNNGAAACUGCUGCCAAUCCAGCCUACCAGAUAAAGCAAAACAACAAGAUCAUGGAAUCAAUCCAGGAAGAGGAAAUAGAAGAGCAGCAGGACCUAGACUCUAUCCAGCAAGCUGAAUAUGAGAAUCAGGAGCAUAUCCAGCCAGCUGAAAUGGAUGAACAACAAGACCACAAUUCUGAAUCUACUGAAGAAGUCAUACAUGAUAUUCAACUUCCAAAGUGAGCAAGAUAUAUCAAAAACCAUCAACCUGAGAACAUUAUUUGAAACAUAAACGAUAGAGUUAUAACAAGAAGAAAAGCAUAAAACAUGUGUGCUUUCACAGCAUUCAUAUCCCAAAUUGAGCCAAAGAACGCCAAAGAAGCAAUACUCGAUGAGAGCUGGCUUUUAGCUAUGCAAGAAGAGCUUCAACAAUUUGAAAGAUGUCAAGUAUGGGAAUUGAUGCCUGCUCCAAAAGAUGUGUCCAUUAUCGGAACUAAAUGGGUAUUCAAAAACAAGCUUGAUGAAUACGGAACAAUUAUGAGAAACAAAGCGAGAUUAGUUGCUCAAGGAUACAAUCAAUAAGAAGGAAUAGACUAUGAAGAAACAUUUUCUCCAGUAGCUUGCUUCGAGUCUAUUCGUAUCCUACUAGCAUUCGCCUAUUUCAGAAAGUUUAAGCUACACCAAAUGGACGUAAAAAGUGCUUUUCUCAACGGAUACAUAAAUGAGGAAUUAUAUGUAAAACAGCCACCUGGAUUUGAGCAUGACAAGUUCCCACAUUACGUAUACAAACUUAAGAAGGCACUCUAUGGACUCAAACAAGCCCNNNNNNNNNNNNNNNNNNNNNNNNNNNNNNNNNNNNNNNNNNNNNNNNNNNNNNNNNNNNNNNNNNNNNNNNNNNNNNNNNNNNNNNNNNNNNNNNNNNNNNNNNNNNNNNNNNNNNNNNNNNNNNNNNNNNNNNNNNNNNNNNNNNNNNNNNNNNNNNNNNNNNNNNNNNNNNNNNNNNNNNNNNNNNNNNNNNNNNNNNNNNNNNNNNNNNNNNNNNNNNNNNNNNNNNNNNNNNNNNNNNNNNNNNNNNNNNNNNNNNNNNNNNNNNNNNNNNNNNNNNNNNNNNNNNNNNNNNNNNNNNNNNNNNNNNNNNNNNNNNNNNNNNNNNNNNNNNNNNNNNNNNNNNNNNNNNNNNNNNNNNNNNNNNNNNNNNNNNNNNNNNNNNNNNNNNNNUACAGGCUGUUAAACAAAUUUUUAAAUAUUUGAGUGGUACGACAAAUUUAGGAUUGUUCUACCCAACAUGCGAUAAUUUUGAUCUAAUGGGCUAUUCAGAUGCUGACUAUGCAGGCUGUCAAAUAGAUAGAAAAAGAAUAAGCGGUGCAUAUACAUUUUUGGGCCAAAGUCUUGUCUCAUGGCAUAGCAAGAAACAGACGUCAGUUAUUCUAUCCACUACAGAGGGGGAAUACUUAGGAGCAGGAAGUUGCUGUUCCCAAAUCUUAUGGAUGCGUCAAACAUUGUGCGACUUUGAUAUUACUUGUGAAAGUGUGCCCAUAUACUGUGAUAAUACCAGCACCAUAGAUAUUUCAAAAAAUCCAGUACUACAUUCCCGCACAAAACACAUAGAAGUACGUCACCAUUUUCUUAGAGACAAUGUGUCCAAAGGUUUAAUAAGAUUAAUAUUCAUUCCUACUGAACAUCAAUUAGCAGAUAUCUUUACAAAACCUUUAGGAGAAGACUGGUUCUGUACAUUAAGAAGAGAACUAGGGAUGUGUCUGAUAUAAACACAAUCUGCAUGAGUUAAGGAAAGUAGACAGUCACGACAUAUCUAUAGGCCAUAAUGACAUUCAUUGAAUCUGCCCAAGAUCUUCAUUCCCAAGACACGGCAUCACGACUUCCCAAAUCUCGGUAACACACGUCCUUUAAAAGGUAAAACUCUACUUUACUAAUUCAAGCUAUGUGACGCCCCCAAAAUAGGUAUACAACACCCAUUCUGAGUCGCCAAAAUACAUGGUAUAGAAAGCAAACUACAACUUUGACAAUACAGAUGUCGUGUAGAAUACGACAAUACAACUGUGAGUUUGAAUACAAAUAUUGUCUUCUAGACAAUAUACACACCCAAAUAAGUCCUCAUUAAUUAUUCAUACACUAUUUUACAGAAAUAGUGAGGACAGCUAAAACAUCUUCCUAGAACCAUCACUCCAUACCCCGACUCGAUCCUGCUAUGUUCUCACCUCCUGAGAAGAAAAAUGGAACAAAAAGGAAAAGGGUGAGCUCAACUAGCCCAGUAAAGAAUAUUAUGACUAAGAUAAUAUACAACAAAUUAUCGUUAGUCUUCAACAGGGAAAAAUCUAAUAGAAUACAAUAGACAACAAGUUUUAGAUCAACAAAUGCAGCGGAAACAGCAAUCCAUUAGAAGAGUCACGUAGAGAAAGAAUUCUACUGUCUUCUAAGGUUUAAAAGUCCAUCAUCAAUAGUUUAUCCCUGUAAUAACAAUCAAUAUACAUCUUUAAUCAUCUUUGCACUACAGGCCAAAGAUAUUCAUUUGUAUCACCAGUUGGUCAUGUUCAUCUCAACACCUGUUCAUCUUUGCACUACAGGCCAAAGAUAUUCAUCAGUUAAUCGUUCAUCUUUGCACUACAGGCCAAAGAUAUUCAUUUAUAUCACCAUUUAGGACUGAGGAUGAUGAAAAACAUUUUUAAAGAAACGAAUCCAGUGAAACAAAAUGACAAGGAUUAAGGAUUAAGGAUUCGUACUUUGUUUUACCCAUGUCCAAAAAUACUUCGAAAAUAAUCAUAUUGGUGUAAAAUUCAAGAAUGAUCAAAACAUGGAUACAAUCAAAGCUAGUAUCCAGAAUAGAUAUUUUGGACAAAAAGAAAAAUUUUUAUUUUUCGGUGAAUAGUGCCGUAUUCGUGAAUAGUGUCGUAUACGUGAAUAGUGCCGUAUACGUGAAUAGUAACCCCGACACAACAAGUUCCAAAUUUGAUAAAAAAGUUCACCAAUACUUCGGCAUAAUGAUAUUGAAGAAAAAAUAUCAUUUAAGAAGAAAAUAAUACCCCUUACCUCAAAAUAACCGUACUUCUGACUGAAUUUCGGUAUAGUGCUGACAGAAACCCGCACCGUAUAGCAACACUCAAAGUAUACUCACAAGAAUACGCUCGAUAAUUUAGAGAGAGAAAGAGAGAAAACUUAGUUUCUGGUGUGAUUUUCAAUUCUAACUUAGCCCUCUAUUUAUAGGAAAAUGUUAGAACGCCAAAGGAGACUAAAUUAAUAAAUUAUUAUUAUUUAAAAUUACAUUUCUACGCAUGCCAUUUGAACACUUCAGCCACCAGCCAACCUUGACCCAAUUUCCAGCAGCCCACAUGUUCAAACAAGAGUGGGUCCCACCCAUUAUUUAAUAAAAAUUAUUUUAUCUUCCGAAACUUCAAUAAUUCGUAGAAAAUAGCUCGUUUAUCAGAAAAAUUCGAAACUCGCGACUUUCCAUGGGAAAUUCCAUUCUCUACAACUUUGCAGAAGAAAAUUUUUCCAAAUUCCAAACAGAAAUUGACCGAAAUCCAUAAACGGGCGAUUUUACAGUCUAUAAUCAAUUUUCGGUCAAGAAUUGUGUCCACCGACACACAAAACAUAUGUUAAACAUUUAAUGCCACAAAAUACUCUACCUCCUCAUAUACUCAUAUAUCCCACAUUCAUUAUAAAAAUAUCACCGUUAAUAUAUUAUUAAAAUAAUAUAUUUAAAUGAAUUAUUUUAUCAGAAAAAGAUAAAAUAUUAAUUUUCAACAAUUGUCACAUUAAAAAUUUUCUCCAUCUAUAUCCACAUAAAAUAAAUAUUUUCUUUAUCAUAAUAAUCAAUAAUUAAUUAUUUAAAAAUAAUAUUACAGAAUCACAGUACUGACAACCAGGCCGUUCCCAGGAAAGAGGGGGCUUUCCAAUAAGGAUUUCUCCUUACUGGCGCGCAAUUAGGUGACCAAACCUCUCCUUAGACAGAACUUUCUAGACAUUGCCAAUAAUGUUAUCUGAUAAUAUUAUUCAAAUAAUAUGAAUUAUUGAUUUGAUAAUGGAAAAUACUGUGUAAUGACAAUUAUUGAAACAACAGCAAUACAAAAUAUCAACGCAGCAAUUAUUGAAUCAAUAAAAUAUAAUAUUGAACAGUAACUACUGUAACAAUUAUUGAGUAGUGCCUUCUUACGUAAGGAUCAAUAAUUCAAUAAUACUGUGCAAUACCGUGUGCUACUGUGCAACCACGCGUAUUACUGUAUUUUAACCACCAGGUAACCCAACAGUGUUAACGGUAACAAUUUACGUCGUUAUUUAUAAAACUCAAUCUUUGUCGUUUUCCUUCAUCCAACCGUUUUCCGUUAUGGGGCCCACCAAUGACUGCGCCGUCGUACGGAGAUUCCCGACAAAAAGAAUAUUCCACGACCAAACGAAUAUUCCCCGACAAUAAUGAAUAUUUUAUAACCACUUGCUUAUUUUGUAAACUUUGCACAUUUCACCCAUAACCAAAGAAUUAUAUCAAAUUAACCCUUAUUAAUUUAGAAUAAUGAAUAAAGGAAAAUUCAAUUUUAUUUAUAAUAAGUUGGGGUCUUACAACCUCCCCUCCUUAUGAAAUUUCGUCCUCGAAAUUGACGUACGUACCUGGUAUAUCGAAAAGGUGAGGGUACCUCGCUUUCAUCUCCGAUUCCAACUCCCAUGUCAUUUCCUCAAUUGCAUGGUUUCUCCACAAAACCUUAACUUGUGGUAUAACCUUCGUGCGUAAGACAUGCUCUUUCCUAUCCAAAAUCUCAACAGGUAUCUCCUCGUAGGUUAAAUCUUCAGCUAUCUCGUCUGGUUCUAAUGCAAUAAUGUGGUUCGGGUCUUUCACAUAUUUACGAAGCAUAGAUAUGUGGAAUACAUUGUGAACACGAGACAUACUUGGAGGUAACGCGAGUCUAUAGGCUACGUUUCCUAUUCGGUCAAGAAUCUCAAAUGGACCAACAAACCUUGGAUUGAGCUUUCCUCUUUUCCCAAAUCUUGUAACUCCUUUCCAUGGAGCAAUACGUAACAAUACAUGAUCUCCAAUAUUAAACUCCACGUCCUUUCUAUGAAGAUCAGCAUAACUCUUUUGUCGAUCUUGUGAAGUUUGAAUACGUUGUCGAAUCAUUUGGAUCUUUUCUGUAGUCAUGCGUACUAAUUCUGGUCCCAACAAUGUUGCUUCUCCCACCUCGUCCCAGCAUACUGGAGAACGACAUUUUCGUCCAUACAACGCCUCAAAUGGAGCCAUGCCUAUACUUGCUUGAUAACUGUUGUUGUAGGAGAAUUCCACCAGUGGUAGGUACUUAUCCCAACUUCCUUUGAAAUCUAGGACACAGAGUCUUAAUAGAUCUUCAAGGGUUUGAAUAGUCCUCUCUGAUUGUCCGUCCGUUUGAGGAUGGUAUGCUGAACUGAAUCGUAAAUCCGUGCCCAUAGCUUUCUGCAAGCUAACCCAAAAUCUUGAAGUGAAUCUCGGGUCACGAUCCGAAACUAUGGAUACUGGCAUGCCAUGCAAUCGUACAAUCUCAUUCACGUACAUACGAGCAAGACGUUCAAGGGGAUAAGUCUCGCGUAUCGGUAAGAAAUGGGCAGACUUGGUUAAUCUAUCAACAAUAACCCAAAUUGCAUCUACGCCUUGAGAAACUUUGGGAAGACCUGUAACAAAAUCCAUAGUAAUGUGUUCCCAUUUCCAUUCCGGAAUCUCAAGUGGUUGCAAUGGACCUUUUGGCACUUGAUGCUCCGCCUUUACACGUUGACAGGUUAAACAUCUUGAGAUAAACUCCGCAAUCUCUCUCUUCAUAUUGUUCCACCAAAAUGUAUGUCGAAUAUCAUGAUACAUUUUGGUACUCCCAGGAUGGAUUGCAAACGGGGUGUUGUGUGCCUCCAUCAUGAUUUUAUGCUUCAGGUCAGAAUCGUUAGGAACGCAAAGUCUAGAAUUGACUCGAAGUAUUCCUUCCUCAUCAAUUCUUGCUUCCGGAAUAGCUCCUUCUUGCACUUUCUUCUUCAUACGCAUCAGCCCCAGGUCCGUAGCUUGAGCAGCUUUAACUUUAUCGAUUAAAGUCGGUUCUACUUGUAUAUUCGCCAUCAUUAUGUGGGUCCCUGGAGUCUUUAAUUCUACCUCCAUCCUUUGCAAGUCAUACAAAAUGGGCCUUUGCGUUGACAAUAUCGCACUCGUACUUGCAUAUGAUCUUCUACUUAAUGCGUCAGCUACUACGUUCGCUUUUCCAGGAUGAUAUUGAAUAGUGUGAUCGUAAUCUUUUAACAGCUCCAGCCAACGUCGUUGCCGCAUGUUGAGUUCUUUUUGGGUGAAGAAAUAUUUGAGGCUUUUAUGGUCCGUAUAAAUCUCCACUUUCUCUCCAUACAAGUAGUGUCUCCAUAUCUUCAACGCGAAUACGACUGCUGCCAACUCUAGAUCAUGAGUAGGAUAAUUCCUCUCAUAUUCUUUGAGUUGUCGUGAGGCAUAGGCUAUGACUUUCCCAUGUUGCAUGAGAACACAUCCUAACCCCUUGCCAGAAGCAUCGCUGUAGAUAACAAAUCCAUCUGAACCAGAUGGUAUUGUCAGAACAGGUGCCGAAAUGAGUCUCCUCUUGAGCUCUUGGAAGCUCUUCUCGCAUUCCUCGCUCCAUAAGAAUUUUGCAUCCUUCCGAGUCAGCUGAGUUAACGGAGUAGCGAUUCGAGAAAAUCCUUCCACAAAUCUCCGAUAAUAACCAGCUAAGCCCAGAAAGCUGCGUACUUCGGUCACCGACUUCGGUUGCUCCCAACUUUGUAUUGCUUCAAUCUUCGCCGGGUCAACAGAUACUCCUUGUUUUGACACCACGUGCCCAAGGAAUGCUACUUCCUCAAGCCAGAACUCGCAUUUCUUCAGCUUGGCAUAAAGCUUGUGUUCACGAAGUCUUUGUAGUACCAGCUUCAAAUGGUGCUCAUGAUCUUCACGGCUUUUGGAAUAGAUGAGGAUGUCAUCAAUAAAGACAACAACGAACUGAUCCAAAUAUUCCUUAAAUACACGGUUCAUCAUAUCCAUGAAAGCAGCAGGAGCAUUAGUCAAUCCAAAAGACAUGACCAAGAAUUCAUAAUGCCCGUAUCGAGUCCUGAAUGCCGUCUUUGGAAUAUCCUCAGUUUUAAUCUUCAGCUGAUGAUAUCCAGAACGAAGAUCGAUCUUUGAAAAGAAUUGCGCUCCUUGUAACUGGUCGAACAGGUCAUCAAUGCGAGGUAGCGGAUACCUAUUCUUGAUGGUGACAUGGUUCAAUUCUCGAUAGUCAAUACAAAGUCGCAUACUCCCGUCUUUCUUCUUUACGAAUAAAACAGGAGCACCCCAAGGAGACGUACUAGGACGAAUGAAACCGAUGUCUAAUAACUCCUGUAGUUGGACUUUUAACUCCUGAAGUUCAAUAGGAGCCAUUCGAUAUGGGGUUUUAGAAAUGGGCUUUGUACCCGGUUCAAGGUCAAUAAAGAAUUCAACAUCACGUUCUGGGGGUAGACCGGGAAGCUCUUCAGGAAAUACAUCAGGGAAUUCUCUAACCACAGAAAUAUUAUUCAAAUCUGACUUGUCUUUAUUCAAAUCCAUAACAUGGGCUAAGAAAGCUUGACAUCCGUUUUUCAAUAAACGAAUAGCUUUGUGGCUUGAUAUGACAGUGACUGAUUUUAGUGGUUUAGUGGUUUGAAUUCGUAUGACAGGUUGGUUAGGAAUAUGAAAACUAACAACCUUACGAAAACAAUCAAUUUUGGCAUGAUGAGUGGUUAACCAAUCAAUUCCUAAAAUCACAUCAAAAGCAAGUAUCUUUAAAGAGAUAAGAUCAACAGGUAAUGUGAUAGUGCCAACUUGGAUCAUGCAAGAUUUAUAAACUGUAGAUGUAACGAAGGUUUCACCCAACGGAGUUUCAACAGAUAAAUCAAAAUCUAAUUUCUCCGGAGUCAAGUUUAAACGUUGAGCACAAGCAGGAGAGAUAAAAGAAUGGGUAGAACCGGUAUCUAGUAAGGUAUAAACUUCGCAAGAAUUCAAGAUUAGCUUACCCGUGAUCACCUCGUUUGGGUUCCUCACGUUUUGUCCAGUCACGACAAACGCUCUUCCAGGAACCGCUGAUUUCGACUUAUCCGGGACAGCCCUUGGAAUCACCACUCCUGCUGAACUUGGUUUCGCGAUAGUACAAUCUCGAGCGAUGUGGCCUUCCUUUCCACAGUUGUAACAUACCUUGGAUUGUUGUGGACAGUUUGGGCUGAUAUGUCCCUCCUUCCCGCAUUUGUAACAUCUAACUGGCGGUCGUUCUCCUCCCCUAGCAUUUGUUGUUGGUGCUGGUGCUGCCGUUGAUAUCUUCCCGUCAUUGUUGAAUCUUCUCUUUCUGAAAUUUCCACUUGAGUCACCUCUCCUAUUAUCAUGUCCACGAUUACCACCUGAGUGGUUACCGCCUUUGUCCGUAUUCUUUCCUCCUCGCUGGUUAUCAUCGUUCUGAUGACUACCCUGAUUGUGGUCCCUCGGUUGAGUAUACUCACUAUCUCGCUCUAAUAACUGAGCCCUGUUGACAACAUCUGAAUACAGAGAAAAUUUAUGAGAGAUAAGGUAUUGACGAAUCUCUGGUUUUAGACCUCUCAGAAACAUACGCGUCAUUCGUUCCUCAUUCUCCACCAAAUGAGGUGCAAACCUGGAUAAUUCUGCGAACCUUGCCUCGUACUGAGACACCGUCAUGUUGUUCUGUUCGAGUCUAAUAAACUCUACCUCCUUCAUAUGACGAAUACUUUCUGGAAAGUACUUGUCAUUGAACAGUUUCUGAAAUCUUUCCCAAGACAUGUUAAGUGCAUCUGGCUGGGUACGCUUCACAGAUUCCCACCAGUAAUCUGCUUCACCACGAAACAUAAAGGUGGCGAAUGGAACCUUCUGUUCCUCCGUGCACCCCAAGACAUCGAAUAUCUUGGUAAUUUGCUUGACCCACGUUUCUGCCUUGAUCGGAUCCGGCUUUCCAUGGAAAUCUGGUGGUCCCAACUCUUUGAAUUGUUUGGCCGUGACAAACCGCACGUUACUAUCAUUUCCUCCCGUAUUUUGUACACGAGUCUCCCUCGUCUGAUUUUGCAUGAACUGCAAAAAGCUUCUAAACAUCCCGUCGUUCAUCAUUUGCUCAGUGGCGUUGUUCACAGGAGGAACAUUGCCAGCCUGUUGCACGUUCUCCUCGUUGGUGAGUACCGGCGUCUCCACGGUCUCAUAAACUCCAUUGUUAACGUUCUCAGCAGCCAUUCUUAAAUACUGCCAUAAAACAAGGGUUAAUUAAACAAAUUAACAUAUCACAUAAUAUCCUAUAUUAUGACCGACCAACAAAUAAGCUUAGGUAGGACACACUAGCGAAGGAUUUACUCGUCUCUCCCCUCCUAGUUCUAUUCCCCGAUCUCCGCCAGAGAUCAUAUCCCUAAGCUCUGAUACCAACUGUGACGCCCCCAAAAUAGGUAUACAACACCCAUUCUGAGUCGCCAAAAUACAUGGUAUAGAAAGCAAACUACAACUUUGACAAUACAGAUGUCGUGUAGAAUACGACAAUACAACUGUGAGUUUGAAUACAAAUAUUGUCUUCUAGACAAUAUACACACCCAAAUAAGUCCUCAUUAAUUAUUCAUACACUAUUUUACAGAAAUAGUGAGGACAGCUAAAACAUCUUCCUAGAACCAUCACUCCAUACCCCGACUCGAUCCUGCUAUGUUCUCACCUCCUGAGAAGAAAAAUGGAACAAAAAGGAAAAGGGUGAGCUCAACUAGCCCAGUAAAGAAUAUUAUGACUAAGAUAAUAUACAACAAAUUAUCGUUAGUCUUCAACAGGGAAAAAUCUAAUAGAAUACAAUAGACAACAAGUUUUAGAUCAACAAAUGCAGCGGAAACAGCAAUCCAUUAGAAGAGUCACGUAGAGAAAGAAUUCUACUGUCUUCUAAGGUUUAAAAGUCCAUCAUCAAUAGUUUAUCCCUGUAAUAACAAUCAAUAUACAUCUUUAAUCAUCUUUGCACUACAGGCCAAAGAUAUUCAUUUGUAUCACCAGUUGGUCAUGUUCAUCUCAACACCUGUUCAUCUUUGCACUACAGGCCAAAGAUAUUCAUCAGUUAAUCGUUCAUCUUUGCACUACAGGCCAAAGAUAUUCAUUUAUAUCACCAUUUAGGACUGAGGAUGAUGAAAAACAUUUUUAAAGAAACGAAUCCAGUGAAACAAAAUGACAAGGAUUAAGGAUUAAGGAUUCGUACUUUGUUUUACCCAUGUCCAAAAAUACUUCGAAAAUAAUCAUAUUGGUGUAAAAUUCAAGAAUGAUCAAAACAUGGAUACAAUCAAAGCUAGUAUCCAGAAUAGAUAUUUUGGACAAAAAGAAAAAUUUUUAUUUUUCGGUGAAUAGUGCCGUAUUCGUGAAUAGUGUCGUAUACGUGAAUAGUGCCGUAUACGUGAAUAGUAACCCCGACACAACAAGUUCCAAAUUUGAUAAAAAAGUUCACCAAUACUUCGGCAUAAUGAUAUUGAAGAAAAAAUAUCAUUUAAGAAGAAAAUAAUACCCCUUACCUCAAAAUAACCGUACUUCUGACUGAAUUUCGGUAUAGUGCUGACAGAAACCCGCACCGUAUAGCAACACUCAAAGUAUACUCACAAGAAUACGCUCGAUAAUUUAGAGAGAGAAAGAGAGAAAACUUAGUUUCUGGUGUGAUUUUCAAUUCUAACUUAGCCCUCUAUUUAUAGGAAAAUGUUAGAACGCCAAAGGAGACUAAAUUAAUAAAUUAUUAUUAUUUAAAAUUACAUUUCUACGCAUGCCAUUUGAACACUUCAGCCACCAGCCAACCUUGACCCAAUUUCCAGCAGCCCACAUGUUCAAACAAGAGUGGGUCCCACCCAUUAUUUAAUAAAAAUUAUUUUAUCUUCCGAAACUUCAAUAAUUCGUAGAAAAUAGCUCGUUUAUCAGAAAAAUUCGAAACUCGCGACUUUCCAUGGGAAAUUCCAUUCUCUACAACUUUGCAGAAGAAAAUUUUUCCAAAUUCCAAACAGAAAUUGACCGAAAUCCAUAAACGGGCGAUUUUACAGUCUAUAAUCAAUUUUCGGUCAAGAAUUGUGUCCACCGACACACAAAACAUAUGUUAAACAUUUAAUGCCACAAAAUACUCUACCUCCUCAUAUACUCAUAUAUCCCACAUUCAUUAUAAAAAUAUCACCGUUAAUAUAUUAUUAAAAUAAUAUAUUUAAAUGAAUUAUUUUAUCAGAAAAAGAUAAAAUAUUAAUUUUCAACAAUUGUCACAUUAAAAAUUUUCUCCAUCUAUAUCCACAUAAAAUAAAUAUUUUCUUUAUCAUAAUAAUCAAUAAUUAAUUAUUUAAAAAUAAUAUUACAGAAUCACAGUACUGACAACCAGGCCGUUCCCAGGAAAGAGGGGGCUUUCCAAUAAGGAUUUCUCCUUACUGGCGCGCAAUUAGGUGACCAAACCUCUCCUUAGACAGAACUUUCUAGACAUUGCCAAUAAUGUUAUCUGAUAAUAUUAUUCAAAUAAUAUGAAUUAUUGAUUUGAUAAUGGAAAAUACUGUGUAAUGACAAUUAUUGAAACAACAGCAAUACAAAAUAUCAACGCAGCAAUUAUUGAAUCAAUAAAAUAUAAUAUUGAACAGUAACUACUGUAACAAUUAUUGAGUAGUGCCUUCUUACGUAAGGAUCAAUAAUUCAAUAAUACUGUGCAAUACCGUGUGCUACUGUGCAACCACGCGUAUUACUGUAUUUUAACCACCAGGUAACCCAACAGUGUUAACGGUAACAAUUUACGUCGUUAUUUAUAAAACUCAAUCUUUGUCGUUUUCCUUCAUCCAACCGUUUUCCGUUAUGGGGCCCACCAAUGACUGCGCCGUCGUACGGAGAUUCCCGACAAAAAGAAUAUUCCACGACCAAACGAAUAUUCCCCGACAAUAAUGAAUAUUUUAUAACCACUUGCUUAUUUUGUAAACUUUGCACAUUUCACCCAUAACCAAAGAAUUAUAUCAAAUUAACCCUUAUUAAUUUAGAAUAAUGAAUAAAGAAAAAUUCAAUUUUAUUUAUAAUAAGUUGGGGUCUUACAAGCUAUCCCUCUCUUCGCCGUCUGCCUCAUCACAUUCUUUCCCGUCUCCCUAACCCCAACCACAAAGAUGAAAACAUGACGAACCAGACAAAUACAUGACGACUCGGAGGAUGAGAUAUCUCUACCAUCGCAACCCCUUCAUCCCACUACUUCUCGACGCAUGAAAAGGAAGCAGCCAUCGGUCCAAACCAUCUCAGGCGACUCCUCUCCGGCUGAAUCUGAGGCUAGUCUACCUUCUCCUCCACCGAUUGGGACCUCCAUGGUCACAAAACGAAGAAUAAUCAAGGAUCCGUCCCGUAGCUCUCCUCCUCUGACGGUAAACCCUCUCCCUGUCUCACUGCAUGAUAUCCCUGAUGAUUUUUUUAGAGGUCACAACUUUGAACUUAGGUUUAAGUCAUCCAUAUGUCACAAAACCUUUGUCUAUGAAAAAUCAAUAGACAUGUUUUAUUAUCAAAACUCACCCCUGCACCGCCUUUUUGAGUCAUGUGGUCUAUCCUCUUUAAGCACUGCUCCUUCGGUCGCUUAUCCAAAAUUAGUCCAGCAGUUUUAUACAAAUCUUGAGAACAAUGGUGAUUGCUACACCUCCUUUGUGAAAGGGAAAUCUCUGUUUUUUACAGCCAUGGACUUAGGUAGUAUUCUGUCCAUUCCUUACACCGGUGACUGCCCCUUUACUCUCAAAGGACCAAUCUCUAAUCCCUUAUCUCCCGUAGUCCAGCUUCGCAUUGUGUUGGAUGACCCAAUAGUCUCCUCUGUCACUCUUCCAAAAACCAUCGAAGUGUCCCCCCUUGCCAUUGUCCUUCACAAACUCUUACGCUACAAUCUCCUCCCCCGUCUCGGUGGUGGAGCAGACUUCACGUAUUAAGAUUUAGUCCUCGUGGCGUUAAUAAUGACUGGCCAGCCUUUUAACUUCUCCCUCAUGAUGCUAAAACACAUGAUCCAUUACGUUAAACACUCCAAAAAAUGUCUGCCUUACAGUUGUUUCCUUACCAAACUCUUCACUCAUUUCCAAAUCCCACUCGAUGAUGAAGGUUGUAUCACCUUAACUGAUUCCAUAGACUCAAAUUAUCUCAAAGGGACUCAUCUCACCUUGCUUAAGGGAAAAUUCAUCCGUCUGGUUCCUGAUACACCUAAACCCAUACCUCCUAUCUCCCUGCCUAUUUCCCCUAAAAUUUUGACUCUCCUUCACACCAUAGCAGAUAAUCAAGCCCAAAUCACUUCGGAUGUCAAAGACAUCCAACUCCGUCUCUCGGUUCUUGAAAAAGGCAAACUGCCAAUUCGGUGUAAUGAUCUCCAGGCCAUGUUUCGCAAUGUUGAAGAUGUAUUUAUUGACCUCCAAGCUGGUUUCGAGAUGCACACCAGGGCAAUGUUUGAAGCCCUCCAACGCAAGAUGAAUCGCAAUGCCUGUCAGCUAAGCACAAAACUCAAGUUCAUCAGCAACCAAGUUGGGACUCUGGGCCAGUUCACCGAGCGACGCAUGAAUGACCUGAGUGAGGAACUGCAAGCAGACCAAGUCCAAGCGCGCAUACCCGAAUGGCCCCAAUGCAAUUGGAUGGCUGAAUAUCAAGGCGACUUUCUGGAUCUGCCCUUACCUCCUCCCACCUUCAUUGCUCGCCCACCCUGUUUUGCCAAUACCAUGUCCCUGGAAGAGAUCAUGCACCGCCGACUUCACCGCCCCUACUUCACAGCUCGCGAGGCCAGUCAUGUCAACCUUGAGGAGGAGGACGCUUAGUUUCACUUUCCCUUUUUGGCAUUCCUGACCCUCCUUUUUGAUGGAUGCCAGAGGGGGAGAAGACUUCCAGUUUAAAGUUUAAACCUUCCCCCUGCCCCAAAGACAAUUGUUUUGAUUAAGACUAUGGUUUAAAAUUUUUGCUAUUAAGACUAUUAGUUUUAAACUUGUUAUUUGAUGGAUGAUGGAUGUUUUUCAUUAUUGCAUUUUUUACUUAACGUGUUGAGGCCUAAACAGUACUUGCAGGGUUGAUCAAAAUACUGCACAUAUGCAGUACAUGGUAUGCAUGAACUAAGGGGGAGCCAUAACUCUCCUGAAGUGCAUAGUCUUAGGGGGAGCUAUAUUUAUUGUGUUGUCAUCAUCAAAAAGGGGGAGAAUGUUGACUUAUGUCACACUCCAUGUUUUGAUGAUGACUCGAUUAUUUCUAAUCAAUGCUAUAUUAUUUUAGGGAAAGAUAUGGAACUUCAGAAAACGUCAAGGAAGAAGUUACAAAGCCAAGACAUCCUUGAAGAAAGAAAAGAAAAUUUGAGUCCUAGGAAUAUAUGUAAGAUCUUAGCAUUUAUUGCUUUCCAAAAUAAGGCUCUAGGACAUGUGCAUUACAUAAAUUGCAUUCUCACACUUAGUACCACGUGCUAAGUCACUUGCACUAAUAUACAUGGGCCGGUAUCCCAUUGAUUUUAGUAAAUAUCAUACAAUCAUCUUGACAUAUCUUAAAUCAUGCGAACUGACUAAAGAAAUGAGUUGAUUGAAUAAUUUUCCACAGGUUAUAUAAUAGUAAUCAUGCUCCAUAAAUCUCGCCCCAUAAAUUCUAGUGAUUCACUUGGGCGAAAAUAUAUGGUUAGAUGUGGACACCGACCAACAGGUAUAAAAGGUAAGCAUAAAUCAAUGACAUUAUAGAUUCUCUAUUAAUUCACGCUGCACAGAUCAUGCUCAUAAAUUAAGCAUCUUAAUUCUAGGAAAUUAAUUUAGGUGCGUGUAUUAACAGACUCUGCAGAAAUCAUGGGUCAUGAUUUGAGAAAUCCAAUUGGCCAAAUCUAACGGUCCAAUGAAUGCUCAGUAAUAUGGGAACAUGCCAGCGAAUAUUUAUGGUAAUCCUAGAAGUUGACUUCCGGCAUUUUAGAAAUUGGACCGUAGAAAUCUGCAAAUAGAAAUCAUUUAGCCGAAAGUCACUGAUAGCAUGAUAUCUCAGAAUCUCUGUGAUGGAAAACAAAUUAAGUAUAUCAUGAUUCACGAAGGACAUUAAGAUUCAUGCAAAAUGUUAGCAACGGAACUAUUUGGGAGACGUCUAUAUAAACUGAGCUCUUUAACAAAUACAGACACGAAAAACAUACACAGAAACUGAUAAGCUUACAAGAUACGAGAUUAUUUUUCAUUGAGAUAGACAUUGAUUAACAGAGUUGCUGCUGCUAAAAUAUUCCGGUAACAUUCAUCUUGUAUAUCAUUUCAUACUAGAGCCUUGAGUUGUUGAGUAAUAUAUUGCUUGAUCAUUAGACCUCUAGUGUGUAUUUUUCAUUUCCUAUCUCAGUAAAUAUUACAUAUAAAUCUGUCUUGAAUUGCUGAUUUCUUACAAUCAAGUAUAAAGAAAGCAUAGGUGCUUAAGUGUGCAUAGGUUCACAAGGAACACAAGUAUUCAGGUUAUUGGAACUUGUAUUGUAAUUGGAAGAGUUUAAUAAAAGUGAGUCUCCAAUACUAGUUGGUAUUGGACGUGGACUAGACUACUAAUCUAAAGGGUAGUAGUUGAACCACGUAAAAAUUCCGGUGUUGGUGUGAUUGACUGUGAUUCUAUUUUGCUUUUCUAUCCAGCUGCCUGCCUUAGUAAAAUCAGCUAACUCAAUAAUAUCCUAAUUUGGUAAUCCAGCUUGCUGCAUUAAAAAUAAAAAUUGAACAUAGUUUGUGCCUACACUUAUUCAACCCCCCUUCUAAGUGUAUCUAUUUAAAUUUCAGGUUUACUAGUCAUUCAAAGUUCGAUACAACAUCUAGAUAUUGAGUAAGAUUAUUUAAGAUCAAGAAUGGAAUCACAACAAUAUAUAGUUGAAUAAAACAUUGUAUAUCCAAUAGACUAUCUUCAAAGGAAUUAAAGAGUCUCGUUCGAAAUAAUGAACAUUUCAAGCUUUGAAUUAAUAAGAAACAAUGAUUAGAUACUUGCUCAAUAUGAAUAAACAACUUGAGCCAUCUUAACCAAACAAUAUCAAGUUCAAGAUUAGGAAAUUUUCUUAGUGAAAAGUAAGAUUUAGAUACUUGCAUAACUAUAAUAAACAAGAUAGGAUUAAAACCAUGUUUUUACUAGUUUUCUUCAUAUUUCAACAUGUUUAGCGAAUUUAAACACAAAAUCCUAGUUUCUUAAACAAAUCAGUCCAUUACACAUGCAUUAUUUUCGUUUCUUGACAUAUUAACACAAUCCAUAACCAAUUUCAUAUUACCAUAUACUUCAAACAUAAAUUUUAACUCCAAAAUCAACCUUUUAGUACAUAUUCAACCAAAAACCUAUUUCUUCUUCUUAAACAUGUCUAUACAUGAAUUUGAUACUCCAAAAUCAUUUGUAAACAACAUAUAACAAAUUAUAAACUAUCUAUAACAUACAUAACAACGAUUCUAAUAAAUCAUCAACCAAAUUUUCCCUUUUCCCCAAGAAAAACUCAAGAAUAUAAAACAUGAUUUUCAUGAAUUUUCUUACUGAAAAUAGUUUCUAAUUCAAUAACUAUCAUCUAAUUAACAUCCAACAUCAUAUGUGGUUAACCAAACUCAGCCUUAUGGCUUUUGGCCUAAUGUAACCGAUAGACGCUUGGUUUUGUUAACUAACGUAUGUGGGAGUCAGUUUAGCCAGUUUAUAUUUACGCGUCUAUUUCUGUUUAGGCUAGCUAAGUACAGAGAGUUGGAGAGGAAGAGAAAAACACAGUGAAAAUUGAGAGAGAUUCUCUGUGAUUUUUGUCAAAGAGAAAGAGUUGGAGCACUAAGGGAAACACGCAAUCCUUUAUCAUCUUUCUUCCCAAUAAUCAAGGUAUAGUUACUCCUAAUAUUCCAUGUUUUGGCUUCUCAAUGAUUAUUCACUGUAAAUUGAAAGUCACGUUGGAUUGAUGUUUAUACAUGUAUCUAUGGUUUUAUAAUCUGUUAAUUAUCAUAAAUAUGUAAUAUUUGGUGAUCAAAUACUAGAAAAUUGGGUUUGAAGAAGAAAAUUUAAUAACAAUGUUAUGUUUAUGUAAAUGGCUUGUGUAAGUCCAACUUUUGGUGUUCAAUUAUUUAUAGAAUCUGUAAAUUGGUUGUAGAUUGUGAUAAUAUGUUAAGAAACAAAAACGACAUAGUUUGAAUGGUGUAAUUUGGUUACGAAACAAGGAUUUGGCGGUUGAUUUCGCUAAAUGUGUUAAAAAUGGAGAAAAUAACAAAAACAUGGUUUAAAUCCUUAUAAUUUUGGUUGUUUUGUUGUUAGAAGUGUUAUGUAUAUGCUUAGCAAUAUUGAAGUAAGUUUGUAGCUAUUGAUUUUAAUGAAUUGUUGUGGAAUUGGGAGAAAUUUGAACUUUUGGUUAAAAGCAGAGCUUCAAUUCACGUUACUGUAAAACUGGUUCUGGUGUCUACUGCGGGGGCACUGCCUCUGGGCGCGGGCGCUCUGCCUCUAGGAGCGGGCGUGCUGCCUCUGGUCGCGGCCGCGCUGCUGCGCAGGCAUGCCGGAUUCUAAGAAAAUUAUAGCGCGGCCUCGCCAGUAGUUAGUCAAACCUAGUAGAGAGCUGCUAGCAGCAUAGCUUGCAAAUUGUUAACUUAACAUAUUCUAAUGAUUGUAAGGGACCUAAAACAUGUUAUAAGGCAUUACAACAUGUUGUAAUCACAAAGUUGAAACUAUAAAUUAUGAACUAAUAAGUUGUGAAAGUUUGUAAUGUGAUGUCAUUUGAAUUGGAAUUAGUUUGCAAUUACCAGGUCGUAUACCAGGAUAUAAUUAAGAAUUCAGUUUCGUGCUACGUGAAUGAGUAGGAUAACCAAGUCCUAAGUUAAGGAUUAUAGACUUGAUUAAAAUGAAAACUAAACUAAUGAAAUUGAUGUUAAUAUAACUAAUUAGUAUUACGAUUCUAAUGGUAUAUGUAGGGUAAUUGGCGAACGUUUAUUAUAUUUGUGUAGCUUUCACCCGAGGCAAGUUUUUUAACUUCAUUCCAUUUAUAAUGAAUGCGAGUUUCUUAUCCUAGACUUUUAUUGCGGAAGUUUUCUAACUUCAUUAUAUUUAUAAUGAAUGCAAGUUCCAUAAUUCCGUUAUUUUGUUAUUAUCAAGCAAGCUUUCUAGUUCUAAAUUAUCAUUUUGAAAAUCCUAUAUUACAGUUGAGAAAGCCUAUUGAUUCUAUCUCGUGUAUGAAUGUACAAGCUCUUGUAAUCUAGUUCGUUACAUCGAGCGAGUUUUACUUUCCUAAGUCUUGUUAUUAUUAUUCAAAGUAUAUAUUGUUCUAAUACAUUGAUUCAAAUGAGAUUGUUCUAACUCUUUUGAAUAUAGUACAUUGCAUGUAUACCAUGUCUACACAAUUGUACAUUUCUAUUAUUUGAUCUUUGACUUAGAUAACCUUGUCCAAUUCUAUAUUGUUAUAUUAAACCUUCAAGUAUUAAGCAAAACUCUUAUUAAUUGAACUAGUCUAUAAUGGAAUAGUGUUCUAAAAUUCUAGAACCACGGAUAAGUUAGUUCCAAGCUAAACUUUCUUUAGUGCAGAAAUUCUAAAUCUAAACUGAGACGAACAACCCUAACAUAGGGGAUUUUGUACGUUUAAAGUUAUGAUGUUUGUGCACAAUACAUGGUACAAAGGGCUGAUCCCCCUAAGUAUGUUAAGAAGGGUCUGUAUAGUCUAAAUGGCUGUUAAGGUUGGGAUAGUAAUACCUAAUCACCGGGGACAUAGUUUGUGGUCUUAAGACCCUCAGAUAUUAAAGUUCGAACUUGUUUUCUAUUUUGAUUCGUAGAACAAGUUCACCAUUGUUCAGCAUUUGUUGUUCACUCUCAUGUUGUUAUUAUUGUUACUCUUUAUAUCAGUGAGUAAUUGUUUCCUCACUCUUGCAUUUAACACUGCAGUUAAAGUUGAAAGAGUCGAUGAGCCAUCUACUAGCAAAGGAAAGGGCAAGAUGUCCAAGUGUUGAAGAUUUAUGAGAAUUUAUUUAAAUGAAUUAUGUUAUAAGAUGUGACAACCCGAAUAUUUGGAUAUUUAUAAAAUCUUAAAAGGUUGAAUUUAGGUUAAAUAAUAAACCUAGACAUAAAAUUAGUGAAUGGAUUUGAGAUUUCCGAGAAGGAAUUUUGUGAAUUUAAAAUUUAUGUGGUGAAUUAUUCAGGAUUAAGUAUAUACGUGAAUAUGUUCUAUGUAUAUGGUUAUAUAUAUGUGUACAGUAUGUGGUUAAGGGUCAAGGGUUGACCAGAUAAGCUAUAUCUAUGGAAAACCCUAGUAUUAUAUUAAGAACAUCAACGUUCAGCUAGAAAAUUCUUACGAUUUAUAAGAAACCCUAAAAACCAGUUUUGGAAACCCUAAUUUUAGUUCCGGGAAUCCGAAACCCUAAUUUAGAAGUUGAAAACCCUAAUUUGGGAGCUUGAAGAUAAGUAUAAAGGUUUUUAUGUUAUUGAUUAUAUGUUUAAUUAGGGAUAACCCUAAUUGAUUAUUAGAAAACCCUAAUUGUUCAGCUGGAAACCCUAAUGCAUGAUUAUGGACUAAAUUGCUAAAUUAGCAAUUUUAAUUAGGAAAUGUUAAUCCUAAUUAGCAAGCUUGAAUUAGUAAUGAUUAGUAAAUUUUAAUGUAAUUAGAAAAUCAUAAUUAUAAUUUAGAAAUAUUAAUUUUCUAUUUUGAAAACCGAAAUUUGGAAAUCUUAAAAAUUAAAUUGCAAACCCUAAACCCUAAGGGUUAAUCCCUAAACCCUAAGGGUUUGGACAAUUGACAUGUAUGCCAUUAAAACUAAAAUCAUAAUGACUAAAGUACCCUUUUUGUAUUUUUAUAAGUUAGCUUGCAAAUCUUGCCAAGAUAUUGGGUUGUUGACCAACUCAAUAUACACCAUGUGCCAUAUAUUAGAUAUAUCAGCCAUCAAUUUCCAGCAAGCUACAUUGUAUCACAUCAUUUAUAUAGAUUAAGAGAGAGAAAAUGCAUACUUUAUUUCUAAUUUUCUCCAAUACUUUCUUUCUCCAAAAUUUUCGAAAUCUAGAGUGAGAGAGAGUGAGAAACCAAGCUAAGAUCAGUUCAUAGCAAGCCUUGAUCAGAAACCAAAGAUCAGAUUUAAGAUCAAAGCUCAAAAAGGUAUAAAAACCCUAAACCUAGAAAUCAUAUGAUUUGAUGUUAGAUGUAAAACACCGAAUUUUACGAAAUAAAAGUAUUCAAUUUUCUGAUAAUUGUUAUUCUAUUUAGUAAAUGAUUAAAUUGAUAAAAGGUUAAAGUUAAAGGUGAUAUGUGACAGUUAUUCAAAGUAAGCAAGUUGUCAUAAAAUAAUCGGUGAUAAAAGUACAGUAAUACGCGUGGUUGCAUAGUAGCACACGGUAUUAAUUAUUGAUGUGUACGUGAGAAGUCACUCAGUUAUACUCAAUUACUGCUACAGUAGUUGCUCCAUAAUAUCUCUCAUAUUAUUGAUUCAAUUAUUGUCACAGUAUCAUCUGCAUAAAAUUUUAUAUUAUUAAAUCAAUAAUUGAGAUGACAAAGUUAUUCAUAUUAUUAUUUGCAAUAUUAACGAUGUCUAGAAAUUUAUGUCGAGGAGAGGUUUGGUCACCUAAUUGCGUGCCAAUUGGGAGAAAUCUUUAUCGGAAAGCCCCAUCUUUCUUGGGAAUGAUCUGGUUGUUAAAUAUUGUAAGUUAUAAUAUUAAUGAUGAAUAAGUUCGUGUUGAUUAAAGAUGAAAUUGAUAUUUCCAUUGUGUUGGGAUUAUGAGUAUUAGUGGAAAUCGACAUCUAUUAUGAUAAUAAUUGAUGUCUGGAGGUUAUAUUAACCAAUCGGGUAAUUAAUCGGAUAAAUGAACAAUUAAUUUCUAUUAAUUCACAUGCUUAUAAUUAUUUGUUCACAUAUAUGUACUAUUGAUUCACAUGCAUGUACUAUUAGGGGAGGUGGUGCAAGAUUGAUAAUACUUGCAUGACUAAAUUAAAAAUGGAGGUAUAGAUGAAGGUACUAUACUGUAAUUAUUUUUUUCACAUGUAUAGAACUAUUAAGUCACAUGAUUGUACUAUUGAUUCACAUGAUAUACUAUUAGGGGAGGUGGUGCAAGUUUGAUAAUACUUGCAGGACUAAAUUAAAAAUGAAGGAAAAGAUGAAGGUAUUAUAAUGUAAUAUUUCGAGCCCCAAAACGUGCAAUUAUCGAAACUAUGUUUUCCUAUAAAUAGAAGCUCAUUCUUCCUUCAUUCUCACCAAUUCACUAAGACUCACAAGAGCAAUUAUAGAGAGAGAAGCUAUAGAGAGAGAAGCUAUAGAGAGAUAGAAGAAGAGAAGUCUGCUACUUCACUAUUCCAGUAUCCAGUCUUCUUCUAAGGUAAGGGAUAUUAUUUGUUAUAUUCGUAAGGGGUAUUAUUUAUUUUAUAUUCUGAAGAGAUAUUAUUUUUCUUAUUCGUACGAAUAUUAUUUUCGUUCAAUAUUCGUAAGGGGUAUUAUUUCUUUCGUAUUCAUGAAAAGAGUUUUUUUUAAUACUUGUAAGGGUUGUUAUUCCAUUCUUUAUUAUUCUGUUGGAAAAACCUGUCUACACGGACUACCACAAGCAUGGUGAAAUUCUUCGGUUAUUCCAUUCUUUAUUAUUCUGUUGGAAUAACCUGUCUACACAGACUACCGCAUACAUGGUGAAAUUCUUCUGUUAUUCCAUUCUUUAUUAUUCUGUUGGAAUAACCUGUCUACGGGGACUACCGCAUGCAUGGUGAAAUUCUUAUGUUAUUCCAUUCUUUAUUAUUCUGUUGGAAUAAUAUGUCUACGCGGACUACCACAUGUAUGGUGAAAUUCUUCUUUUAUUCCAUUCUUUAUUAUUCUAUUGGAAUAACCUGUCUAUGGGGACUACCGCGUGCAUGGUGAAUGACCCUUUGUGACGCCCCCAAAACAGGUAUACAUCACCCAUCUUGGGUCGCCAGAUACAAGGUACUAAAUACAAAUACAACUUAAUUAUACAACAGUCGUGUAAAAUACGACAAAACAUAGGCUGUGAGUUUUAAUACAAAUAUUGUCAUCUAGACAAUAUCCACACUCAAUGGAGUCCUCAUUACAUUUAUUAUCACACUAUUUCACAGAAUAGUGAGGACUACUAAUGCACCAUCUAGGACCAUCACUNNNNNNNNNNNNNNNNNNNNNNNNNNNNNNNNNNNNNNNNNNNNNNNNNNNNNNNNNNNNNNNNNNNNNNNNNNNNNNNNNNNNNNNNNNNNNNNNNNNNUAAUCAUCAAUGGUCAUGACUAUACCGAAUAAUCCCUGGUCAUAAUCAUACCAACAACUGUCCAUCAAUGAACUACAGGCCAAUGAGGACUUUUACCACAUCAUUCGUCACAUUACGGUCAUGAUUAUACCGAAUAAUCCCUGGUCAUAAUCAUACCAAGUCCAUCUAUGCACGUAAGACAAAGAUGACUUUCAACAUAAUAUAAGCAUGCAGAUGAUGACAAUUCAAUAAAACAAGUUCAAGAAUAAAUUUUAAAGAUUUAUAAGUUAAUUUAUCCUGAACUCAAUAACGUCCAAAUUGACAACAUAAUAUUGCUUUGUGCAGUAAAAUUCAAGAAUGCUCAGAAGAAUAUUUACAUGAAAAGAUACUGGAUGAAGCACAAAUAUUAAGGAUAUUCCACUAAUUUCAUGGAGUAUAGAAGCUAAAGCUUUAACCAACUGAGUAUAAUAUAAUAUAUAAAACUACAAUUCACCCGCCAUGCGGUAAUCCAUGUAUACAGAUCAUCUCCACAAUUUAAUAAGGAAUGAAUACACAGGAUCAUUCACCAUGCAUGUGGUAAUCCAUAUAGACAGGUUAUUCCAACAGAAUAAUAAAGAAUGGAAUAACAGAAGGAUUCACCAUACGUGUGAUAGACUGCACCGACAGGUUAUUCCCAACAGAAUAAUAAAUAAUGGAACCAGGUCCGGCGUAAACACACAGACAGGAUAUUCCGACAGAAUAAUAAAUAAUAUGGAACCAGGUCCGGCGUAAACACACAGACAGGAUAUUCUGACAGAAUAAAUAAUGGAACCAGGUCCGGCGUAAACGCACAGACAGGAUAUCCCGACAGAAUAAUAAAUAAUGGAACCAGGUCCGGCGUAAAUGCACAGACGGGAUAUUUCGACAGAAUAAUAAAGAACGGAAUAUUAGAAGAAUUUCAUUAUGUAUGCGGUACUUUGCAUAAACAGGUUAUUCUAACAGAAUAAUAAGAAUGGAAUAACAUAAGAAUUUCACCAUGUAUGCAGUACUUUGCAUAGACAGGUUAUUCCAACAUAAUAAUAAAGAAUGGAAUAACAGAAGAAUUUCACCAAGUAUAGGGUAUCCCGCGUAUACAGGUUAUUCCAACAGAAUAAUAAAGAAUGGAAUAACAGAAGUUCUCUUCAUGAAUAAGAAAGAAAGUAUACCCCUUACGAGUACAACAAAUAAUAUCCCAUACCUUAGAAAAACUGAAUACUGAAGUAGUGAAGUAGCAGAAUACUUUUCUUCUUUCUCUCUAUAGAUUUCUCUCUAGAGUUUCAGUGAAUUCGUAGGAAAUAAUGAAGGAAUGAACUUCUAUUUAUAGGAGAAUGGACUGAAUAGUAACUAAAUAAUGAACGGUCCAGAUUGAUUUACUAUUAUAUCUUCAACCAACGGUCUAAAAAAUUAGCACAUCUCCUCAUGGAAUAAUAUUGUACCAAAAAUGAUUUGGACCGAACAGAAAUAUAUCUUACGGGUGAAUAGUACCCUGUGAAUAGUAACUUGUGAAUAGUAACUCAUGAAUAGUAACUCGUGAAUAGUAACUCGUGAAUAAUAACUCGUGAAUAGUACUCCGACACAAAAAGUGUCCCGAAUAUCCAAUUGAACAAUAUAACCUCCAAACAUCAAUUAUACUAACACAAAUAAGUCCAACACAAUGGAACUAUAAAAUUCAUCCUUAAUCAAUACGAACUUAUUCAUCAUUAAUAUUAUAAUUCACAAUAUUUAACAACCAGGUCGUUCCCAGGAAAGAGGGGGCUUUCCGAUAAGGAUUUCUCCUUAUUGGCGGGCAAUUAGGUGACCAAACCUCUCCUUGACAAAACUUCUAGACAUUGUCAAUAUUGCAAAUAAUAAUAUGAAUAACUUUGUCGUCUCAAUUAUUGAUUUAAUAAUAUAUCAUAUUAUGCAGAUGAUACUGUGACAAUAAUUGAAUCAAUAAUAUGAGAGAUAUGAUGCAGCAAUUACUGUAGCAAUAAUUGAGUAUAACUGAGUGACUUCUCACGUAAGCAUCAAUAAUCAAUACCGUGUGCUACUAUGCAACCACGCGUAUUACUGUACUUUUACUACCGGGUAGUUCAACAGUUUUAACGGUAACACCUCCGCCAUUAUUUUUAUAGAAAGAUAUUUUUGUCAUUUUCUAACUACGACAAUACUUCCAUUGUGGGGUCCAUCAAUGAUUGUGCCGUCGUACGAAUAUUCCCUGUUAAAAUGAAUAUUCCCCGACCAAUCGAAUAAUAUAUAACCACUUACUUACUUUUCAAAAUUUAUAAAUACUAUCCACAACUAUAAUAUUAUAUCAAAUCCACACCAUAGUAUUAAAAAAUUAUUUCGACAAAAUUAAAUAUUUAUUCAUAAAAUCUGAGGUCUCACACCCUUAGUGUUCAUUCUUUAUUAAAUUAUGGAAAUAAUAUGUUUACGUGGAUUACCGAAUGGCGGGUGAAAAUCCAUUUACAGUUUCGUAUAUUCUUUUAUACUCGUAUGAGAUAUCAUUUCUUUUAUACUCGUCAUGGAAUAUCGUUUUCUUUUGUAUUUUCCUUUUAUGGGUACUAUUCACGUAUACAGAACUAUUCACAUAUAUGGUACUAUUUAUGAAUACGAGUUACUAUUCAGGAGUUACUAUUCACGAUAAAAUUAGUUUCUUUUACUGACCAAAUUAUCAUUGAUUUAUGAAUCUUACUCUUGAAAUUAAAUCCAUGUUUUGAUCAUAUUGUUUUUAUUAUCAUAUAUAACAUUUUUAUAAUCCUGGUGAUGAAAUUUCUCUUUGACUUAAGUGUAAAGAUGGGUAGAUUAUUGGUAUGAUCGUGACUAUGGGUUCUCUUUGGCAAGUAGUGCAAAGAUGAAUUGUUGACUGGUAUGAUCAUGACCAUUGAAUUUAUAAUUGAAUAUCUUUAGCUUAAGUGCAAAGGUGAAUUGAUCAACAUGGUUAUAAUUAUUGUUUAUAUAAAUUCUAAAAUGAUUAUAUAUUUAUUUGAGAUAUUAAUAUCUUUGGUCCGUAGUGCAAAGAUGACCUGUUGUUUAAUAUCUUUGGCCUGUAGUGCAAAGAUGAAUUGUUGUUGAAUAUCUUUGGUGGUAGUGCAAAGAUGACCUGUUGUUGAAUAUCUUUUGGCCUGUAGUGUAAAGAUGAACUGUUGAUCAAUAUCUUUGGCCCAUAGUGCAAAGUUGAAUUUAUUAGUAUGAUUAUGAACAUGAACUGUGAUUUGGUAUAACCAUGAUCUUUGAUGUUUCAGGUAAAGACAUGUGAUGAAAAUUAUCUUCGUCCUGGAUGUGAAGAGGAAUUUAGAACCACAAUUAUGAUUAUGAGUUAUUCACAUGAUUGUGGGUAGGAAUUGUUAAUUGAUGUUACAGGGUUAAAACAUUGUUGGUGGACUUUUAACAUGGAGAAGAUAAUAGACUUUAUGGUCUAUUUGACUCUUCUAAUGGAUUGCUCGUUCCGCUGCAACUAUGGUUGAAAAGUUUUAUCAUCUACCAUAUGUUCUAAAUCUCUGAUUUAUUAUUGACGAAGGCUAUUGAUAAUUUAAUUAUCUUUAGUCAUGAUAUUCUUUAUUGGGCUAGUUGUGCUCACUCUUUUGCUUCACAAUUCCUUUCAGGUAAUAAGAGUGUAGCUGGGUCGAGCAGGGGUAAUAAGGGAUUAGAACGGUGGUCUAUAGUUAUUGAGGUUCUCCCUAAACAGUAUUGAAAUAAUUUUAUGGAGAACAUUACAUAAGUGUGUUGUAUUUUAUACAUCAUUUAAUAGUUAUAAUUGGUGAAUCAAAUAGAGUGAGGCGAACCCAACUUUGGAAGGGUCUUUUACCACCAUCAUACAAGAUAUCUAAUGACAUACGACUUCGUGUUAUCAUAAGACAGGGUUGUGCACAUCCACUUACUGAGUAUAUCUACGAGCACUACCUAUAUAAUCUUAGAGUUUGGUUGAAAUAUAAUUCUUAAUUGGAGACAAUGGAGAUAAUUAUAUGUCAAGAGAAGACUCGCCAUUGGAAAGAACAUGAUAGAAAUCUUCUCGUUUUUCUUUGGGGACUAUUGGGUCAACCAAGGAUAAUUCUGUGAUCAUAUGAUAUCAAUUAUAACUUAAAUGUAUGGUCUCCCAUAUACGAAGGUUUCCUUGAGCAUUUUCCAAAGAUUUUAAUUUCUAAAAUAGUUAUUGACUAUACCUUUAUGUAAGGUGUUAGUUCCCAGUAGGCACAAUAGAUCUAGAAAGGGGGUUGAAUAGAUCCUUUUUAAUUUCAAAUAUUUUUCAGGUUUAUUUUGUAUAGCUAAUAAUUUAGCAUAUGACAAACAUAAGAAUAUUUUCAAGCACAGCGGAAAAAGUAAAAGAUUCCCUUCAUUGAUAUAUUCAUAAUCAUACAUACAUUGUUCUUAGAGUUAGUUCGGUUGUAAGUAGUUAAAACAUACAUAGCAGUUAUAGCAGUUAAUGUACAUAAUGUAAAUGACAUAAGGUAAAAGACACGAGGGGUUUUAAGUGGUUUAGAGACUCAAGCUAUUAAUCCACUCUUCUGCUUUCAACUAGAAGAAUUUCCACUAAGGAAGGGCAGCACCAUACAUCACUAAGAUUCCUUCAAGACCAGCAACCUUGGGACUUCAGUUCACUAAGAACUCUUCAAGGCCAGCAGCCUUGGAACUUCUCUAGUUCUGUAGGAACUCUUCAAGCCUAGCAAGCUUGGAACUUCAUUUAGUCCCUCCGAAAAAGGACCCCUCAGGCCCUGGCUUCUUGUUGUUGUUUGUUGUUGUUGUUGGUGAUGAGCUGCUAAGAUGUCUUUAAGCUUGAUCAUCUUUUGUACUUAGUAGCAUGGUGUGAUCCUCUUUGCAUUCUGCUUCGAGUCUGGACCACAUCUUCUUUGGUGCAGCUGAUCUUCUUUUGUUCUGUUCAUCUUCAUGUAGUGUCAGUUGUGCACCAUCACCAUUCCCUGAACCCUUCUUAACAUGUUGGCAGACAUGGUUCUGCACUUUCUCUGGUUCAGCUUUAGGUUCAUGGUGAAUCAUGGAGUGGCUCUCAGGAUUUUCCUUGUGUUUUGCAACUCUUCUGGAUGCUAUCUUUUUGUCCUUCUCGGUUCUUAGCUUGGAUCCCAAUUUAAGUGGCAUUCUCAUCUUGUUGAGUGAAGCUUUGGUCUGUUCAAGUCCUUCUUCAAAGCUGCUUCACUUCCACCUUCGUAGUCUCACUGUCACUAAGACUUGUUCUAUUUAAGCUCAGGUGAAACUCGUAGAGUCAACGUUAGCAUUCUACCAACUCAAUGAUUCUGCAACAUAGCAAUAAUCAACAACUCUUGAUCGUUGAAGCUCUGGCUUACUUAUACUCCUUCCCAAUCUUCCCAUUGAGAAGUAGCCGUUGAAAGCUUUUUGAAUUGCUUCGCAGAUCUUGAGUUAUUUGGUGUAGACUAUAGAUGUGACAUGAUAUCCCCUUUUCUGACCUUCUGACACUACAGUCUACUGUUUCACCUACCAUGUCAGAGAUGUCACUCUGAUGUCUUGGGCAGGUCGACGAAUUUAUUUCCUCCUUCUGAUUUCUCGAUCAGAGGUUGUCCUUUUGCAUCGAUGCUCUCAAUAAGCUCUUGUUCGAAUAUCAAUCUUUAGAUUGAACCGUUGCCAAUGCUUCAAUCUUCAGUUGACCGAACUCUACGAUUCUGAUGAACAUCUUCUUGGACCUGAUCGUAGUGUCUUGUUGAAUGUUACUUAUAGACUGGUAGAGUCAACACUACGAUCCUGAAGAGUGUUCAUUAGAUCUCCAAUAUAGAACACCUCUUCCUUCUUACUGUGCAGUGCUCCAACACUUCUGUUUGCCUCGAAUGUUCUUAGAUAUUGAUGGCUUGACUCAUGUUUCUGGUCCCUUUUGAAUAGCAAGACACUUCAGAUUUGUGGCGUGUCCAGUUCGCUUUCUCCUUGUGAUCUUCCGUUCACUUAUCAUCAAUGGACUGACCUAAUGCUUAAUAACUUUAGCCUUAUUCUUCAGAGGCUGACUAGUAUCUUUGUGUACACUCCAUCAGUUCCUUCUUUAUUUGGCAAACACUACGAUCCUGGUAUCUUUCAAGAUCAUUGUCUUCCAUUUACUUGACAGCUACUGCACUUGAUGACUUUUAUUUAUCAAUUACUGAAGUCUUCUUAUGAUCAGCAUGUGGAAGACUUCAUCUUGAAUUGCUUCACAACUCACUCUGGAUGUCGAUUGAGUUGGUGCUUGGAUCUUCUAUUAGCUUACAUUCGAUUCGUUGAGUGCCCUCUGGUUUCCUUUUGGUGGGAUGUAACUUUGCAGUACUAACCAGAGGCUUCAUUCCUUUGGAUAUUCUGGGAGUGCUCAUUUGCUGAGAAUCGUGUUUUCUCUACGAUUCUGCCUUGGCGUUAUGAGAACAUUUGUUGAAGUCUUAGUUCAACACUCUACAAUUCAGCUUCGGUUGUGCAGACACUAUAACUUUGAGAUCAUAUCUUGACACUCUACGAUUUCUUUUGUUGUGCUUGUUGUCAUCAUCUGAUCUUGCUCGACUACGAUCUCUGCCUCUAAUAUGAUCAGUAGACUUUACGACUCUGAGUGUAGUCUACGAUUCUUGACUUGGCUUCAGCAGAUGCUUGGUCGGCUCGUAGGCAGGCUGUCUCUACGAUUCUGACCAUGAAUUCCUCAGCAGACUAUAGCUCCGAAGAAGUUCUACUCGACACACUACGAUCCUUCCUCGCCUCUCCUGGCAGUGUACGAACUCUAAGAUCUACUAUCUUGCAGACUACGAUUCUGCCUUGAUAGCUCUCGAGUUUUCCUUGACUCUCCUAGAAGACUACGAUUUUUGGUGCAGUUCUCAACGAUCAGACAAGCCUAUCUAUUACAUCAUAAGAUCAACCUAACAUGCUUGAUCUUACUAUAUUUAUAGUCCUUGUACAUCAUUUCUUUUUAAGGACUUUACAAAGCUAUUUUGCUUAUGUAGGAUCAACCUAACACAUUUGAUCAAUUCAUUCUAAGUCCUUGUACAUAUGUUUCUAUUAUCUAUCAAAGGACUUUACAGCUUUUCUUAAUUGCAAGCACACUUGCAUAUUCAUUCAUAUAUAUAUAUAUAUAUAUCAUAAUCAAAUCAUAUGUAAAUAGGAAUAUCGUUCACAUGUUUAUUUCUGACAAUCUCCCCCUAUUUGAUUAUGACAAAAACAAUAAGUGCAUAUGCAUGUUAUGAAUGAAACUUAUAUACAUUGAGCAACUAUAUUUCUAAAACAGAUAAUCAUGAAUGUCAUUUAAAAUAAUAUGGAAUUUAAUACACUAUGACAUUUUACAUCCUGGAUCUAGAACAUACCUAACUAGUUACAGAUGUACCUUUUUGGCUCCAUGGAUGUUUUUAGGAUGUCUGUUGAUCAGCUAAUCAUCUGUUUGAUCUUCUUGUUCCUGCUCCCCCCUGGGAUGAUGACUUUCUUUCUUUGCUAUGCUCCCCUUCAGACUUAUGAUCUUCUUGCUUAGUUUGCUCCCCCUAAAACUCUGCGAUCAUAUGAUCAUCAUCUUUUGGCUCCCCCUCAGAUGAUGACUCUGCUACCUCUUCUAUUCUUUUCUUCUAUAACUUUCCCUUGGCCUUUUUAUCUUCACUCCUUCUGCUCUCCUUGUCCUUUCUUGAAUGUCUCUUGCUAUGCCUCUUUCUAUGUCUCUUUUUCUCCCCCUUUUUGUCAUUAAUCAUUUGGGAGAACUGCUCCAUGUUGGACAUAAGUUGCUCCAUCAGAUAAGAGGAGUUACCAACUUCAACCUUGAGUUCUUGUUGGCUUAACUCAAAUUGCAUGGAGAAAGACUGAUUCAUGUUGUCAAUCUUGUCAGAGAGGACUUGGAGUUUCUCUUUAUUAGCCUUCUGUGUUUGUAGAGCUUCUGCCUUCUGAUCAUUUAUGGCCUUCAGAUUAAUGUGAUCUCUCUCUUUGAUUUUGAGAGAUACCCCAGCCAUGGUGGCAUGGAGUCUGUCUUGAACUGAGUUAUCUUCUGUUGUUGUCAACUUCUUUGACUCUUUAUUGAUUAGAGAUAUCUUCUCAAUCAGCUUAGCAGAGUUCUUCAACAGUUCCUGCUCCAUAGGAAUUUGGUCAUUAGGUUGGGCAGCCUCUUAUUGAACACCAAAUUGGACUCCACGAUUUUCAUCCUUUGACAAAUUUUCAAAAGUAGUGAGAAUAUGAAAAAUCAUUGAAUACCAAUCGCUAUUGGAGGAUGAAAGAAUAUCAGAUAGCUGUGCUUAUGCAGAUGGAGGCUUCUCAUUCUCGAUUUAAACACCGUCAGUGGUAGAGUGAACAGUCUCUACGAUUAUCUCAUUGGCCAUAAUCCUUCUGCCUUCAGAGUCCACUCUACGAUCAUAAGGAAUAUAGUGGUUUCCAGCAUGUCUGUAGACUUUGUAGUGGGGUUGGUCUUUGAUCAUCAUUGUUGCAAAAUUCUUCACCUUUGGGAAGUUUUGUGCCACCAGCUCCAUGUUUAGAAAUUGUGAGUAGCACCAGCUGAAGUAACUUCCAUCUCUUUCAGUAUGUGCCUUUAACCAAGGAAUCCAUUCGAAGAACCAUCUCAUCAAUAGAUCAUCAGGAUUGUAGAGGAUAGUCAUGUAGUCUAACACUAUAUUGUUCCAAUUUUUGAACACAUCAUGUGCAGUCAUCCUUACAACCCUGAGUUGUUCAUUGCCAUAUCUUACCCAUCUUUAUGUUGGGAGUUCUUCUGGUUCAUCAAAAACUUCUACCACUAUUCUUCUACUGAUUCUUGCUGGAGAGAGGACAUGAUAGUCUUAUGGUUCCUCUGAUUCUUGAUGUGCAGAAUCAGAAUCUUUCUCCAUUUUUCUCUUUCGGAGCCUGAAGCAUUCUGAUCAGAUUCAUCAGUGAAUCCUUCAUGUUGAUCUUCAUUACCAGACUCUUCUUUAGUAAUGUCUUCCUUGGAUUCAUCUUCUUCAUUACUAGUUCCAUCUUCAGCACUUUUCUCCUUUGAUUCAGAUUCAUUAUCACUUACUUCAAUGACUGAAGUGGAGUGAUCACUUCUCUUCUUGGAGGCAAAUUGAGCAAUUAAUCUGUAGCUCUUCCUUCUCCUUGGGGGUUCAACUAUGGGAGAGUUAGACUCUUCUUCCUCUUCAGACUCUGAGGCCUUUGGAUCAGACGAACAUCCAUGAGGUUCAUCAUUGUCAGGGGCAGGUCCUUCUUCUUCGGACUCGUCGUCUUUGGAGCCAUCAUGUGGGCUUGCAGGAGUAGUUGUAGUGAGAGAUGCAGCUUUGUUAUCUUGCAGCCUUUCUUCAUUUUCAAAGUGAAUACUCUGAGAGUUAGCCACAGGGCUUGUACAUUCUUCUUCAUCAUCAGAGUCUGCAUUAUCUUCCAUGAAUACGGUUCCAACUUCAUCGCUGGAUUUGUUCUUUGGGGACUCAGUCUUGACAUCAUCAGUUCCUUUUUCUUCUUCUGACUCUACGUCCUCUUCUUCGUCAGAUGUACUUUCUUGGGAAAUGGGGACUGGUAUGUUUACCACCUUAGAUUUCUUUCUGGAUGGCCCUUGAAGUAAUCUGUUACUUCUCCUCUUUGUGGUCUAUGUAGUUGAGACCUUUUCAUCUUCAUCCUUAUCUUCUGUGGAGAGACUUCUUGGUAAGGACUCAGUUUUCUUCACGCCCUUGGAUUUCUUCCUUGCUGGUGUGGUUGCUACUGGUGCAGAGUCACCAGACUCAGAGCUUUCCACCUCUUUUGCCUUCCUCUUUUUCGCAGAGUUCUUUCUGCUGCUCCCUGUUGUUGUCAACCUUUUGUUUUCCUUUGGGUUCUUCUUCCAUUUCAAAAACAGUUGUGGAGACAUUACUUUGUGAACAUUUAAAGGCUCUCCUUCAUCAUUCUUGAUUUUGCUUCCCAGUUUCUUUUUUAGCACUAUACUCAACAGUCUUCCAUGAAACACCUUUGUCAGGGGUUUUUCUGUAGACUUUUUCAACUCAACCUUUUCUACCCAUUUGGAGAUUUGAUCAAACACGAUAAUUCCAAAGUUGAUUCGCUUCUUCAGAACUAUAGCAGACAUGAUUUUCAACUGGUAAUCAAGCACAGUGUUAUGUGCAGUAUCCUUGCAUAGUAUAUAUUUGCCCACUAUCUCAGCAAGGAACUCGAAUUCCUCCGGAAACUCCUUCUUCAUGUCCUUCAGACUAGGGUUUCUUUGGUACCACAUUAUCCUCUUGCCUUCUUCAAUGUCGACUUCAUCCAGGUUUAUCAGACCUUGGUUGGGAAACCCUAGACAUUUCUUGAUGUCUGAUGCUCUUAUUUUCAGACUUGAUCCUUUCACCUUCGCGGUCAGAAGCCCAGAAUCUAUUAAAGCAUUUGAGUAGAACUGUUUCACUAGCUCUGUAUAGACUGGAGUGUCGGUCUCCAAGCACUCAGAGAACCCAGUCUUCUUUACGAGCUCAAGUAUGUCCUUGAACUUUGUUUCUGAUCUUUCGAAUUUUUUGAAGCCGAGUUGGAUUGCGGUUAUAACUCGCCAUUCUGCCAUUUGAAGAGUUCAAGGUAUAUGGGUAUGUGUUUUAGGGAGUCUAAAGAGAAAUAGUUGAAUGUGAUUUGGGCAAGACUCUGGAGGGUUAAUGGGUUUUGGCUUCAAAUAGGAUUCUAGGGUUUAAAAAUGGAGAGUUUUGAUAGUUUCUGAAAAAUGUUUAUAGAUUUUAAAUUUGUCUUUAUGGUAGUUCCCUCUGACUCUGCAUAAACAGUUAUGUGUCAACCAACCAUUGGUUGAACGAUGUCCAGUAAUGAGCUGUAACUCCCCAUAAACUUUUUAGUUAGAUAUCUCUUGUGACGCCCCCAAAAUAGAUAUACAACACCCAUUCUGAGUCGCCAAAUACAUGGUACAGAAACAACUACAACUUUAUUAAUACAACUGUCAUGCAAAAUACGAGAACACUUAAACUGUGAGUUUAAAUACAAAUAUUGUCAUCUAGACAAUAUCCACACUCAAAUAAGUCCUCAUUACAAUUAUUGAUAAACUAUUUUACAAAAUAGUGAGGACUACUAAAACAACUUCUAGAACCAUCAUUCCACACCCCGACUAGUACUCGCUACAUUCUCGCCUCCUAAGAAGAAAAAUAUGGAACAAAAAGGAAAAGGGUGAGCUCAACUAGCCCAGUAAAGAACAUUAUGACUAAGAUAAUAUAGAACAAAUUAUCGUUAGUCCUCAACAGGGAACAAUCUAAUAGAAUACAAUAGACAACAAGUUUUAAAUCAAUAUUCGCAGCUGAAAUAAUAAUUUAUUAGAAGAGUUAAAUAGAGAUAAAAUCUACUAUCUUCUAUAUAUGAAUUUAAAAGUCCAUCGUCAAUAUUUUAUCCCUGUAACAUCAAUCAAUAUAUAUCUGGAAUCAAAUAUUCAUCUUUGCACUACAGGCCAAAGAUAUUCAUCAGUUGGUCAUGUUCAUCUAAACACCUGUUCAUCUUUGCACUACGGGCCAAAGAUAUUAAUCAGUCGGUCAUGUUCAUCUCAACACCUGUUCAUCUUUGCACUACGGGCCAAAGAUAUUCAUCAAGAAAUCAUUCAUCUUUGCACUACAGGCCAAAGAUAUUCAGUAAUAUCAUCAUUUAGGACUGAGGAUGAUGAAAAAUAUUUUAAAGAAAACGAAUCCAGUGAAACAAAAGAAUAAAUAUUAAGGAUUCGUAUUUCAGCUAUUCCAUGUCCAAAAAUACCUCAUAAAUAAUCAUAGUGGAGUAAAAUUCAAGAAUGAUCAAAACAUGGAUACAAUCAAAGCUAGUAUCCAUAAUAGAUAUUUUGGACAAAAAGAAAAAAUUUCAUUUUUCGGUGAAUAGUGCCGUAUUCGUGAAUAGUGCCGUAUACGUGAAUAGUAUCGUAUACGUGAAUAGUAACUCCAACACAAAAAGUUCCAAAUUUGAUAAAAAGUUCAGACCAAUAUUUUGGCAUAAUGAUAUUGAAAGAAAUAAUAUCAUUUAUGAAGAAAAUAACAUCCCUUACCUCGCAAAGACAGUACUUCUGACUGAAUAUCGGAUAUAAUGCUGAAAGAAACUUGCACCGUAUAGCCACACUCAAAGUAUCAAAAUACUCACAAAAAUACGCUCGAUAUUAUAGAGAGAGAAAACUUUAGAUUCUGGUGUGAUUUUCAAUUCUAAUCUAAGCAUCCUAUUUAUAGGAAAUUGCUUAGAACACCAAAGCAGAAAAUUUAAUAAAAUAUUAAUAUUAUUUAUUUAAAUUCUUACACCCACCUUGACCAUCUGAAUUCUGCCACCAAUAAUGACAAAACAAAAAACACGUUUUUGUUAUUAAAAAUAAUUAAAACUUUCAAAAAUUAAUUAUUUCGGAACUACAGAACUUCAAUAAUUCAUAAUAAAUAGCCCUUUUAUCAGAAAAAUUCAAACCUUAUGUCCUUUCUAUAGAAAAUUUCAUUCUCUAUAACUUUGCAGAAGAAAGUUUUUCUAAAUUCCAAACAGAAAUUGACCGAAAUCCACAUACAGACGAUUUUACAGCCUAUAAUCAAAUUUCAGUCAAGAAAUGGGCCUACAGACAUGUUUAACAUGUUUUAAAUAACUUUUGCAAAAAAUACCCUUCCUCCUCGUAUAUUCAUAUAUCCCACAUUCAUUGUAAAAAUAUCACCAUUAUUAUAUUAUUAAAAUAUAAUAAUAUAUUUAAAUGAAUUAUUUUAUCAAAAAAGAUAAAAUAUCAAUUUUUCAACAAUUGUCACUUUAAAAUUUUCUCCAUCUAUAUCCACAUAAAAUCAAUAUUUUCCUCAUCAUAUGAAUCAAUAAUUAAUUAUUCACAAAUAAUAUUACAGAAUCACAAUAUUGACAACCAGGCAGUUCCCAGGAAAGAGGGGGCUUUCCAAUAAGAAUUUCUCCUUACUGGCGCGCAAUUAGGUGACCAAACCUCUCCUUAGACAGAACUUUCUAGACAUUGCCAAUAAUGUUAUCUAAUAAUAUUAUUCAGAUAAUAUGAAUUAUUGCUUCGAUAAUGGAAAAUACUGUGUAGUGACAAUUAUUGAAACAACAGUAAUAUAAAAUAUCAACGCAGCAAUUAUUGAAUCAAUAAAAUAAAAUACUGAACAGUAAUUACUGUAACAAUUAUUGAGUAGUGCCUUCUUACGUAAGAAUCAAUAAUUGGUGCAAUACCGUGUGCUACUGUGCAACAACGCGUAUUACUGUGUUUUAACCACCGGGUAUUCCAACAGUAUUAACGGUAACAACUACGCCGUUAUUUAUAAACAACUUAUACUUGUCGUUUUCUUCAUCCAAUCGCUUUUCGUUAUGGGGCCCACAAAAGGCUGCGCCGUCGUACGAAUAUUCCCCGACAGGAAGAAUAUUCCACGACCAAACUAAUAUUCCCCGACAAUAAUGAAUAUUUUAUAACCACUUGCUUAUUUGAAAUAUUUGCACAUUUUACCCAUAACUAACCACAUUAAUCAAUUCAACCCUUACUAUUUCAAAAUAAUAAAUAGAGAAAUUCAAUUUCAUUUAUAAUAAGUUGGGGUCUUACAACCUCCCAUCCUUAUGAAAUUUCGUCCUCGAAAUUGACGUACGUACCUGGUGUUUCGAAAAGGUGAGGAUACCUCGCUUUCAUUUUCGUUUCCAACUCCCAGGUCAUUUCCUCUAUAACAUGGUUCAUCCACAAAACUUUGACUUGUGGUAUGACCUUUGUGCGUAGGACAUGCUCUUUCCUAUCCAAGAUCUUGACAGGUACCUCUUCGUACGUUAAGUCUUCGGCUAUUUCGUUCGGUUCUAACUCAAUAACGUGGUUUAGGUCUUUCACAUAUUUACGUAGCACAUAUAUAUGAAAAACAUUAUGAACAUGAGGCAUACUUGGAGGUAAUGCGAGUCUAUAGGCCACAUUUCCUACUCGGUCAAGAAUCUGAAAUAGACCAAUAAAUCAUGGAUUGAGCUUUCCUCUUUUCUCGAAUCUUGUAACUCCCUUCCAUUAAGCAAUACGUAACAAUACAUGAUCCCCAAUGUCAAAUUCCACAUCCUUUCGAUGAAGAUCCGCAUAACUCUUUUGUCGAUCUUGUGCCAUUUGUAUAUGUUAUCGAAUUGUUUGGAUCUUCUCUGUAGUCAUUCGUACCAACUCUGGUCCCAACAACGUUGCUUCUCCCACCUCAUCCCAGCAUACUGGAGAGCGGCACUUUCGUCCAUACAAUGCUUCAAAUGGAGCCACACCUAUACUUGCCUGAUAACUGUUGUUGUAGGAGAAUUCCACCAAUGGUAGGUACUUAUCCCAACUCCCUUUGAAAUCUAGGACACAAAGUCUUAAUAGAUCGAUCUUCAAGAGUUUGAAUAGUCCUCUCUGAUUGCCCGUCCGUUUGAGGAUGGUAUACCGAACUGAAUCGUUAAUCCGUGCCCAUAGCUUUAUGCAAGCUAACCCAAAAUCUUGAAGUGAAUCUUGGGUCACGAUUCGAAACUAUAGAUACUGGCAUGCCAUGCAAUCUCAUAAUCUCAUUUACGUACAUACGAGCAAGACGUUCAAGGGAAUAAGUCUCCCGUAUCGGCAAGAAAUGAGCAGACUUAGUUAAUCUAUGAACAAUAACCCAAAUCGCAUGUAUGCCUUGAGAAACCGUGGGAAGACCCGUAACAAAAUCCAUGGUAAUGUGUUCCCACUUCCAUUUUGGAAUAUCAAGUGGUUGGAAUGGACCCUUUGGCACUUGAUGCUCCGCCUUUACACGUUGACAAGUUAAACACCUCGAGAUAAACUUCGCGAUCUCUCUCUUCAUAUUGUUCCACCAAAAUGUAUGUCGAAGAUCAUGAUACAUUUUGGUACUCUCAGGAUGGAUUGCAAACGGUGUGUUGUGUGCCUCCAUCAUGAUUCCAUGCUUCAAGUUAGAAUCGUUAGGAACACAAAGUCUGGAGUUGACUCGAAGUAUUCCUUCUUCAUUGAUCCUUGCUUCUAGAAUAGCACUUUCUUGCACUUUUUUUGUGAGACCCCAGAUUUUAUGAAUAAAGAUUUAAUUUUCUGGAAAUAUAUAUAUUUUUUAAUAUUAUGGUGUGGAUUUGAAAUAAUGUUAUAGUUGUGGGUAAUAUUUAUAAAUUUUGAAAAGUAUGCAAGUUGUUAUAAAAUAUUCGAUUGGUCGGAGAAUAUUCUUUUUGUCAGGGAAUAUCCGUACGACGACACAAUCAUUGGUGGACCCCACGAUGAAAGUAUUAUCGAAUUUAGAAAAUGACAUAAUUAUCUUUUUGUAAAAUAACGGCGGAAGUGUUACCGUUAAAACUGUUGAACUACCCGGUAGUAAAAAGUACAGUAAUACGUGUGGUUGCAUAGUAGCACACGGUGUUGGUUAUUAAUGCUUACGUGAUAAGUCACUCAGUUUUGUUUUAUUAGUAUUAUUAAUGUAAUAAAACAGAAAAGCUUUUUAUAUAAAACAUAAUACUUUUAUAAAGUUAUUCUAUAAAUAAAAUAUAUUAUAUUCUAUUGUGCAUAGUGUUUUGCAUAGUAAAAUCUUUUUAUAUAAAACAGAAUAUUUUUAUAAAUUAUUCUAUAAAUAGAAUAUAUUAUAUUUUAUUAUGUAUAGUGUUGCAUAGUAUUUUGCAUAGUGAAAUCUUUUUAUAUAAAACAGAAUACUUUUAUAAAGUUAUUCGUUUUAUUAGAUUAUAAAUAGAAUAUAUUAUAUUUUAUUUAAAAGAUUUUGCUUUAAAUACGGAUCGUCCGAUUAAAAGUAAAUCAAUCUGGACCGUUCAUGAAUUAGUUACUAUGUAGUCCAUUCUUCUAUAAAUAAAAGCUCAUUCCUUCAUUAUUUCUUACGAAUUCACUGAAACUCUAGAGAGAGAAACUAUAGAGAGAAUUCUUCUUCUAUAAUCUUGAGCGUAUUUCUUUAGAGUUUAAGAAAGUUUUGAGCGUAGUACAAGUUUUCUUCGAGUAUAUCCUCGCCCUACUAGUCGGAAUACUCUUCUUUCAAAGGUAAGGGAUAUUAUUUGUCGUACUCGUAAGGGAUAUUAUUUGUUGUACUCGUAAGGGUAUUAUUUCUUUCGUAUUCAUGAAGAGAACUUCUGUUAUUCCAUUCUUUAUUAUUCUGUUGGAAUAACCUGUAUACACGGUCUACCCUAUACUUGGUGAAAUUCUUCUGAUAUUCCAUUCUUUAUUAUUAUGUUGGAAUAACCUGUCUAUGCAAAAUACCGCAUAUAUGGUGAAAUUCUUUUGUUAUUCCAUUCUUUAAUUAUUCUGUUGGAAUAACCUGUCUGUGCGGUCUAUCGCAUGCAUGGUGAUUUCUGUUGUUAUUCCAUUCUUUAUUAUUAUGUCGGAAUAUCCUGUCUGUACGUUUAGGCCGGACCUGGUUCCAUUAUUUAUUAUUUUGUCGGAAUAUCCAGUCUGUACGUUUACGCCGGACCUGGUUCCAUUAUUUAUUAUUCUGUUGGGAAUAACCUGUUUGUUCAGUCUAUCGCACGUAUGGUGAAUCCUUCUAUUAUUCCAUUCUUUAUUAUCCUGUUCGAAUACCCUGUCUAUGUGGAUUACCACAUGCAUGGUAAAUGAUCCUUUGUAUUCAUUCCUUAUUAAAUUGUGAAAAUGAUCUGUAUACGUGGAUUACCGCAUGGCGGGUAAAAAUCCAUUUGCAGUUUCACAUAUUCUUUUAUACUCAGUUGGUUAAAGCUUUGACUUCUAUACUCUAUGAAAUUAGUGGAAUAUCCUAGACAUUUGCGCUUCAUCGAGUAUCUUUUCAUGAAAAUAUUCUUCUGAGCAUUCUUGAAUUUUACUCUACAAAGAAGUAUCAUGUUGACAAUUUGGACAUUAUUGAGUUCAGGAUAAAUUAACUUAUAAAUCUUUAAAAUUAAUUCUUGAACUUGUUUUAUUGAAUUAUUAUGUCAUUGUCAUGAUGAGUUAUGUUGGUUAUUAUGUGAACACAGGAAAGUUUCUUAGAAAUCACAAACGGUUAAAAAUCAGCUUUUGGUGAAAAUGAAACAUGAAAUUCAAUUGACCGUAUCUCCUGUUAUAUUUUGAAUUUUUGAGUGUGGUCAAGUUCUAGAGUUAGAUCUAUGAGUUUCCUAACUUAUCCAAGUAGAAUCACUGGAAAAUGUAUUGUAGAUUUUCGUGUGUACUUAUUUUAGCAAAUGAGUCAAAAGUUGUAAAUUACAAAAAAGCUACUGCCCAGAAGUUUAAAAGGGUAUUUUGGCCACUUAAAUUGUGAGACAAAUUUUGGCCUUUUGGGACAUACAAAUAUAUGGUAUAAUCCUGUCCAAAAAUGAGUUCAUUCCGACUUAAAAUGAGCAAGUUAUGACCAUUUCAAUAUUUAGGUUUUUUCGACGGAAAAUGCUAUAACCGGAGUUCUAUAACUUCGAUGACCAUGAAAUUUAAACUGGAAGCUCACGUUAACAUGUGUAAGAUCCUGCCAAGAUUUGGAAAUUUAUGGAGUUAACCUUGAGGUAGCUAAUUUCUUAAGGAAUUAAUUAGAAAUUGAUUUUUGAAAAAUAGUAAAUGAAUUUUAAAAAUUCCGAAAAAAAUAUAUGUUCAUAUGGGACUAUAUUCUGCUUAAUCCCAGAAAAGAAUAAUUUUUGGGACAGAUUUGGUAUUUUUCAUAAAAAUGGUUUAGUUACGAACAUAUGAAUUAAAUAUGUUAUUUGAAGUUGAAAAAUUGGUAAAUAGGAUUUUAUGGCUUGAAAAUCCUAUAUAAGGUAUAUGCAGAUUUUUGAUGAGUAAUUUGAUUAUUGGUGAUGAAAUCUUAUGUGUAUGGCAUUUUUGAAUGAUUAAAUGCAUUAUUUGAAAAAGUGUAAACAAUUAAAUCAAAUUGUUUAUAAGUUUAAGGAGUGAUUAAAAUAUUGUUAUAAUAUUAACAAUAUUAUAUUAUGAUUUUAUUAAGUGAUUGAUAAUGUUUGGAUAAAUUUAAAGUCUUUAAUAUUUAUCCUUGAUUUAGUUUGACUAAUGCUUAUAAUAUUGUCAUCAUCCUCAUNNNNNNNNNNNNNNNNNNNNNNNNNNNNNNNNNNNNNNNNNNNNNNNNNNNNNNNNNNNNNNNNNNNNNNNNNNNNNNNNNNNNNNNNNNNNNNNNNNNNNNNCUGCAACUAUGGUUGAAAAGUUUUAUCAUCUACCAUAUGUUCUAAAUCUCUGAUUUAUUAUUGAUGAAAGCUAUUGAUAAUUUAAUUAUCUUUAGUCAUGAUAUUCUUUACUGGGCUAGUUGUGCUCACCCUUUUGCUUCACAAUUCCUUUCAGGUAAUAAAAGUGUAGCUGGGUCGAGCGGGGUAUUAAGAGGAUUAGUGUAACGCUCGAGAAUUUCGAAUUUUCAAUGAAUUAAAUUUUUAUUUGAUUAUGUGGAUUAAAUGAAUUUUAUUGAGUGAUUAUGUGAGUAAGAUGUUCGAAGGUCGUUGUAUGACCUAGAAUGUGUAGAUGUGGUUAGUAUUCUGGCUUUGAGCUAGAAUUAAUUGUUAUGAAUUAUCAAAACGAGAACGAAGGUUUUCUGAGAUUGUUUGCGUAAAAACACUAUUCAUCUGAUGAUGUUCGGAGCUAGGGUUUGAGAUUCUGAGAAACGUGUAAUGUUAGAAUGUGACGAUAUUAUGGAAUAUCCAAUAAUAUUUCCGUUAUGGCAAACGAAGUUUUCGCCUGCGGACUUAAAACCUAAGGGUUUGUGAAAGAGGUUUCUGAAAGGGAAAUGUAAUGCGUAUAGUCGUUUCGAUUAUUAUACGUAAGGAAUAUGAGUAUUAUACUAGUAUGUAUAUAGGUAUGGUAUGAAGAAUAGUACGAAGUAUAAUACGAUUAUUAUAUGAGUAUUAUACGAAGAGAAUACGUGAAUAAUACGCGUAGAAUACGAAUUGUAUUAUUAGAAUAUGAGCUAAGGAUUUUAUCCAAUCCAAUUGGACUUGGAUUAAUAAACAAGCCCAAUGAAUUAAGGAUAUAAGCCCAAGCCAAGGCCCAAUAUUAGAUUGGUUAAAGCCCAAUGUUUUUAUGUCAAGCCUAAUCCAAAAAGUAACCCGCGGGUCGAACCGGUGGGUCAAGGGAUGGGUAAAACCUAUGGGGCAACCCAUGGGGAUGACCCAUGUGCAAGGUGGGCCGGCCACUUGGUGUGCAAGCCAAGUGUGUCACUUGGUCACCAAGUAUUUUGCUUGGUGACAAAGUUAUAAUUAAGUGAGGAGGUGGUGAAUUGGACAAUUUUGCCCCUCAUUUGGUUUUCUAUAAAUAGAAAGCUAAGAGUUGGAUUUUUGUUGUUUUACAAAGUUUUUCCAACAUAUUUGAGAGAGAGAAAAGAGCUAGAAUCCUAUAACUCUUCUACUUCCAAGCAAACCAAAAGACGUUUAUCAAGAACGUUAACUACUUCGAAGGUAAAUUCCUAUAAACCGUAAUCUUCAUCCUUUUCGAUUUCUUUCUCAUAAGAAGAAUCGUAGAUGAGUGGAGAGCGUUUAUGGAGAAGAUAUAAGAAUGCCUAUUAAUAACCAAAUCAUUGAUAGGUCUUGACCAAAUAGAAAUCCUAAGUUGUUAUUUGAGUAAAAACCAUAGAAAGUCUUGAAAGUUAACUUAGUUAUAAUUGAACGUUUUAGAAAUCGUUGUAGCUAAGAUAUGUGUAACUUGAUUGGUUAGGAUGUAGAUAUGAAGUCCAUGGAGUAUUCCAUGUAAUUUGGCUUAGAGCACAUUAGUAACGAAGUUAUGACGGACUUUACGGAAAUAGACGUUAAACGUCGAAAACGCAUAAAGUCCGGAUUAAAGGUCAAAAGUUUCCGUUUGACUUGAAAACGUCGGUUUCCAAUGUCAACAUGUGAGAUAAUGUAAUCAAGAGUCGUUGGCGAAGGAAUCAUCGCAUUCCGACUUAUAACGAAGAAAACGAGUAUUGAACGGGCGAAAACGUUAAACGAACGCUUAAAAACGAACCUAAAGGCGAAUUCCGAGUUAACGGAUUUGAAAAGGUGAAAUUCUUAUACGAACACGUAAAGGAUGUAAUUUGUGACUUGUAGGAAUUCGAAUGGGUCAAUUCAGAUGUAAAAUGAACAAAUUAGGAAGCUGGGAGUUUCAUUAGGAAACCAAAUCUGUUUUGGCUAACUGCUGCACAGACUCGGCACCGCAGCGCCAAAACCAGUACAAAGUGGUGGCGCCAUAGCGCCAGACUCUGCCGAGUACCCUGCUAACUCGCGCCGCAGUGCCACUAAAACAUAAGGGAUGCCGUGCCGCAGCGCCGACAGUGGGAAAAAGUUGACUAAGUUAGGUUUAGUUCCCUUUUGAAUAUAGACCUAAAGUAAGAUGUUAAAGGUACUUAAAGUACAUAAUGAGACUUACUUUAAAACACUUAUAAGAUGUUAAUGUAAGAAGAACGGGUAAGGUUUAAUGGAAAUUAAACGAAGAUCACAAAUACGUAAUGAGUGAACCGUAAACGACAUUCAAAGUUGGUAAUUAACCAUUAAUUAUCGAAUGUCGGCUAAGGACGUAAGAACGUUAAUGAAAUCUAGAGCUAAGUGCUGUCAAAUAAUAUCACAUGGAGUUGUUAGGUUAGGCCAACCACUCCCACACUUGGCAAAAUUGUACAAGUUGCUUAAAAAAACACUAAAGGGCAUUUUGGAUAAUUGAUUUGUGAUUUUAAGGGUAUUCUUGUAAUCAUGCAAACCCUUAGGGUUUGACCCUUAAGGUUUAACCCUUAGGGUUUAACCUUAAGGUUUAGUACAUAGCAUUUGUAGGAUUUCCAUUUUUAGGGUUUGCUCAAAAAUAAAAUUAAAUAAAUUUUAGUUUCUAAAAUUUUGAAACUAGGAUUUUCUAAUUAUACUAUACAUGAACAUUAAGGUUUAGAUCAUAUAAUUAUCAUUGACUUUGCUAAUUUGGCAAUUAGGGUUUAUACUUUUGGUAAUUAGGUUUUUAUAAUUUCUAAUUAGGGUUACUAAUUAUAGAAAUUAGGGUUUCUAAAAAUUAAUAUCUCAAAAUGUUAAUUAGGGUUUACCUAAUUAUUCAUAAAAUCAUAUAAUAUCGUCACAUAAUAAUCUCGAACUCAUAAUUGAGUUUUAAAUUAGGGUUUAACACUUAAAAUUAGGGUUUCUAUCACUUUAAUUAGGGUUUACCUAAUUAAUACAUUUAAUACAUGACGUAAAUUAUAUAACACACUUAUAAAACAAUCUUGUACUCUAUUUUGGAUCUCAAAUUAGGGUUUAACAUUAUUACUAGGGUUUGGUCAUAAUACACCGUAAUUGACCAACCAUUAUCAAUACGGACAUACAAUACAUAUUUAUAGCACUGAAAAAUCAAAAUAUAAUUAAUAUUAUAUUAAUAUCCUCAUACCUUGACAAUAAUCCAAAAUUAGGGUUUGGAUUCCAUAUCUGAUUUAUUCUUUAUAUUUAACCUUAAUAAUUAAGGUAAAAUAAUUAACUUAAUAAACUGUACUAAAAUUCAUAUAAUAAAAUAAUUAUUAUAAUUAUUAUAAAAAUCACUUCAUAUAUUAUUUAAAUAAUAUAUGAUUAUAUUUUUAUGAAAAAUAAUUAAUAAAAACAUUUCUAUCUUAAAAUUAAUUAUUAUAAGAAUAUACUUUAUAAUAAUCAAUAAUUCUAAAAUAAAUUUAUUUGUAAAUAUUUUUGUAAUAAAUAUAUUUUUAUUUAUCACAUAAAUACAUAUACACAUUAUCUUGUACAAAUCCUCAUCCUUAAAAUAAUAAUAAUAAAAAUUAUAUGAAAAAUUUAUGAUUUAUUUAAAUAGAAAAUAUCGGGUUAUUACAGCUACUCCGCUGACAAAUCUGACAAGGAAGUCGGUAAAGUAUGAGUGGACAGAAAAGUGUGAGCAGAGUUUUCGAGAACUAAAAAGGAGGUUGAGUGAGGCACCUGUAUUAUCUUUACCAGAUGAUACGGGGAAUUUUGUAGUUUAUAGCGAUGCUUCGCAUAGAAGACUAGGUUGCGUGCUUAUGCAGCAUGACAAGGUCAUUGCGUAUGCGUCACGUCAGUUAAAGGAUUAUGAGAAGGUCUAUCCUACUCAUGACCUAGAAAUGGCAGCAGUAGUAUUUUCUUUGAAAAUAUGGAGAUUUUAUUUAUACGGGGAGAAGUGUGAGAUAUACACGGACCAUAAAAGUCUAAAAUAUAUCUUCACACAGAAGGAGUUGAACAUGAGGCAGAGAAGGUGGUUAGAAUUAAUAAAAGAUUAUGAUUGUGAUAUCUUAUAUCAUCCGGAGAAGGCGAAUGUAGUAGCAGACGCGUUGAGUCGAAAGGGUAGAGAGAAACUGUCAAUGUUAACGACUCAGAAUGAGUUAAUAACAGAGAUGACAAGGAUGGAAUUAGAAGUUAAGUUACCAAGGGAAACGAGGGAGAUGUUAUUUGCAAUCGACCAACGAUAGUGGAACGGGUUAAGGAAGUAGAGUUGAGUACGGAGGAAUGCGAGCGGAUGAAGAAGAUAAUGAAGGAUGAUGCGAAGACUAAGUAUAACCUUGAUAAAGAAGGUUUACUUCAUUUUGAGGGAAGAAUUUGGGUUCCAAAUAAUUCCGAGUUGAAGGAAGAGAUUAUGUGUGAGGCUCACAGUUCGAGGUACUCGAUACAUCUUGGUAGUACUAAGAUGUAUCAAGACCUUUGUCAGAACUUUUGGUGGCCGAACAUGAAGAGGGAGAUUGUAGAAUAUGUUAGUAAGUGCUUAACUUGUCAGGAAGUUAAGGCUGAAGACCAAAGACCGAGUGGACUGAUACAACCACUGGAGAUUCCGGAGUGGAAAUGGGAGCAUAUCACCAUGGACUUUGUGGUGGGACUUCCAACGACAAGAAAGGGAUACGAUGCUAUUUGGGUAAUAGUGGAUCGGUUAACUAAAUCUGCUCAUUUUCUACCAAUAGGAGUUAGGUAUAAUUUAGAGCAAUUAGCUAAGCUUUAUGUCAAAGAAAUCAUUUCUAGAAAUGGAGUGCCUGUUUUGAUUGUGUCUGAUCGUGAUCCACGAUUCACGUCGAACUUUUGGAGGAGUUUGCAAGAGCAAAUGGGAACACAGUUGAGAUUGAGUACGGCGUAUCAUCCACAGACGGAUGGGCAAAGCAAACGGACAAUUCAAAUGCCAGAAGAUAUGUUAAGAUCUUGCAUUAUGGAUUUCAAAGGGAGUUGGGACGAACAUCUACCGUUAGUAGAAUUCGCUUAUAAUAAUAGUUUUCACGCUAGUAUAGGCAUGCCGCCUUACGAAGAGUUGUAUGGACGAAAGUGUAGAACACCACUUUGUUGGGAUGAAGUAGGUGAACGUUGAAUGUUGGGACUUGAGAUGGUACAACAAACAGCAGACAUGGUAAAGCUGAUAAGAGCUCGAUUAGUAGCGGCUCAAGAUAGACAACGGAAGUAUGCAGAUCCUCAUCGAGAGAAGAGGGAGUUUGAAGUAGGGUCUUAUGUCUUUCUAAAAGUAUCGCCUUGGAAAGGGAAGAUACGUUUUGGAAAGAAAGGGAAGUUAAGUUCGAGGUUUGUAGGACCUUUUGAGAUUUUAAGAAGGAUAGGAGAGGUAGCUUAUGAAGUAGCCUUACCUCCAGAAAUGGAAAGAAUACACAAUGUGUUUCACGUGUCUGUGUUGCGUCCUUAUAAACCGGACUAUAAGCAUGUAAUAGAGUAUGAGUCUAUUCAAGUAGAAAAAGACUUAACGUAUGAAGAACUUCUGAUUCAGAUUAUUGAUAGGAAGGAACAAGUCUUGAGAAAUAAGGUAAUACCUUCCGUAAAGGUAAUUUGGAGUAACCACGAGGCUGAAGAAGCAACGUGGGAACUCGAAAGUAAAAUGAAGGAAAAGUUUCCUCAUUUGUUUAUGUAAGAAUAGCGAGAUUCUGGGGACAGAAUCCUUAUAAGGAGGGAAGAAUGUAACGCCCGAGAAUUUCGAAUUUUCAAUGAAUUAAAUUUUUAUUUGAUUAUGUGGAUUAAAUGAAUUUUAUUGAGUGAUUAUGUGAGUAAGAUGUUCGAAGGUCGUUGUAUAACCUAGAAUGUGUAGAUGUGGUUAGUAUUCUGGCUUUGAGCUAGAAUUAAUUGUUAUGAAUUAUCAAAACAAGAACGAAGGUUUUCUGAGAUUGUUUGCGUAAAAACACUAUUCAUCUGAUGACGUUCGGAGCUAGGGUUUGAGAUUUUGAGAAAUGCGUAAUGUUAGAAUGUGACGAUAUUAUGGAAUAUCCAAUAAUAUUUUCGUUAUGGCAAACAAAGUUUUCGCCUGCGGACUUAAAACCUAAGGGUUUGUGAAAGAGGUUUCCGAAAAGGAAAUGUAAUGCGUAUAGUCGUUUCGAUUAUUAUACGUAAGGAAUAUGAGUAUUAUACUAGUAUGUAUACGGGUAUGGUAUGAAGAAUAGUAAGAAGUAUAAUACGAUUAUUAUAUGAGUAUUAUACGAAGAGAAUACGUGAAUAAUACGCGUAGAAUACGAAUUGUAUUAUUAGAAUAUGAGCUAAGGAUUUUUAUCCAAUCCAAUUGGACUUGGAUUAAUAAACAAGCCCAAUGAAUUAAGGAUACAAGCCCAAGCCAAGGCCCAAUAUUAGAUUGGUUAAAGCCCAAUGUUUUUAUGUCAAGCCCAAUCCAAAAAGUAACCCGCGGGUCGAACCGGUGAGUCAAGGGAUGGGUAAAACCCAUGGGGCAACCCAUGGGGAUGACCCAUGUACAAGGCGGGCCGGCCACUUGGUGUGCAAGCCAAGUGUGUCACUUGGUCACCAAGUAUUUUCCUUGGUGACAAAGUUGUAAUUAAGUGAGGAGGUGGUGAAUUGGACAAUUUUGCCCCUCAUUUGGUUUUCUAUAAAUAGAAAGCUAAGAGUUGGAUUUUUGUUGUUUUACAAAGUUUUUCCAACAUAUUUGAGAGAGAGAAAAGAGCUAGAAUCCUAUAACUCUUCUACUUCCAAGCAAACCAAAAGACGUUUAUCAAGAACGUUAACUACUUCGAAGGUAAAUUCCUAUAAACCGUAAUCUUCAUCCUUUUCGAUUUCUUUCUCAUAAGAAGAAUCGUAGAUGAGUGGAGAGCGUUUAUGGAGAAGAUAUAAGAAUGCCUAUUAAUGACCAAAUCAUUGAUAGGUCUUGACCAAAUAGAAAUCGUAAGUGGUUAUGUGAGUAAAAACCAUAGAAAGUCUUGAAAGUUAACUUAGUUAUAAUUGAACGUUUUGGAAACCGUUGUAGCUAAGAUAUGUGUAACUUGAUUGGUUAGGAUAUAGAUAUGAAGUCCAUGGAGUAUUCCAUGUGAUUUGGCUUAGAGCACAUUAGUAACGAAGUUAUGGCAGAUUUUGCGGAAAUAGAUGUUAAACGUCGAAAACGCAUAAAGUCCGGAUUAAAGGUCAAAAUUUGCCGUGUGACUUGAAAACAUCAGUUUCCAAUGUCAACACGUGAGAUAAGGUAAUCAAGAGUCGUUGGUGAAGGAAUCGUCGCAUUCCGACUUAUAACGAAGAAAACGAGUAUUGAACGGGCAAAAACGUUAAAUGAACAUCUAAAAAUGAACCUAAAGGUGAAUUCCGAGUUAACGGAUUCAAAAAGGUGAAAUUCUUAUACGAACACGUAAAGGAUGUAAUAUGUGACUUGUAGGAAUUCGAAUGGGUCAAUUCGGAUGUAAAACGAACAAAUUAGGAAGCCGAGAGUUUCAUUAGGAAACCAAAUCUGUUUUGGCUAACUGCUGCACAGACUCGGCGCCGCAGCGCCAAAACCAGUACAAAGUGGUGGCGCCGCAGCUCCAGACUCGGCCGAGUACCCUGCUAACUCGCGCCGCAGCGCCACUAAAACAUAAGGGAUGCCGCGCCGCAACGCCGGCAGUGGGAAAAAGUUGACCAAGUUAAGUUUAGUUCCCUUUCGAAUGUAGACCUAAAGUAAGAUGUUAAAGGUACUUAAAGUACAUAAUGAGACUUACUUUAAAACACUUAUAAGAUGUUAAUGUAAGAAGAACGGGUAAGGUUUAAUGGAAAUUAAACGAAGAUCACAAAUACGUAAUGAGUGAACCGUAAACGACAUUCAACGUUGGUAAUUAACCAUUAAUGAUCGAAUGACGGCUAAGGACGUAAGAACGUUAAUGAAACGUAACGAAGUAUAGAGAGUCGAAUCGACUUUAAUAACAGAGUUAAAACAAGUAAGACAUAGAAGAGAAAGAAGUUGGUUAGAACCGUAAAGUGAGUUUGUUUGAUAACUAAUUACAGUGUGCUAUGUGAAUGUAUCAUGUAGAUCCUGUAAAGACUGAGAAUAGUUGGAAUAUAUAUUCGAAGACUCUUGAAGGCAAGUCUUUCUUAACUCUUGUCUGACCUUCGAGUUAGUCAAGUUUUUACGUGAUGCAUGGUAUACAAUGCAUGAAUGGUAAAUAGAAAAGAGUCGAUGCCUGUUUUAUCCGGGCUAGACAAGUAUUGAAGGAUAGAUUGAAUUGUUUACAAGUCUGUUGAUAUAGAAUUGUUAAUGCUAUCCUAUGCCAAGUAUUUGGUACGGAUGAGAAGGUAAGUUUGUCUAUGAACAAACAAAAAUUUUUUCCUCGAUUAUUCGAUGGGCACGCGAGGUUGCCAAAUAUUAAAGGUAAAUACGUUUAACGUAAUAGUGUUGAUCAACAUAGAGUACAAUAGGCUGAUCACCUAUAAGUGCUCUUAAGUAAAGAUGGGUGGAUGGCCUUAGUGCCGAAUAUCCUUUUCAACUAUGAAAACGAAAAGAGUAUGUUCAUGGUCUAUUGACCGGUUCAUCAUUCCUAAGCUAUUAUAUAUGCUCUGGAAUUGUUGUAGUAGAAGUAUUAGUCAAAUGAUUCAGAAUGCUUCAUGAAUAAUUUUUCUGAUAUUGAUAUAAAGCAUGUAAUUAUUGAUGUGAUAUUCAUAUGUUUUGUUGUUAAGACUUGCUGAGCUAGUUAUGCUCAUUCUUGCUUGAACCAUAUGUUUGCAGCUAAAGCCGAACGAACUGAGAGUUCUAUGAGAGAUAAAGGAAAGGCUAAGAUGGACAAUUAAUCAUCCUGUAAUAGACUAGUAUAUUUGUAUGUAAUGUACUUAUGAAGAACAACGAAUGUAUUCGUUUAUGAACCUGGGAAAGGAUUUAUUACAUAUGUAAUACAAAGAUAGUAAUUACACUCAUUUUGUUAUUAUUUCAAUGGAAUGAUUGUAUGAACUGUAGUAUCGUGGAGCACCAUCUGUCGGGUUGGAAGAUACCCGGAUUUGGGGGCGUCACAAUUAGAACGGUGGUCUAUAGCUGUUGAGGUUCUCCCUAAAUAGUAUGAAAAUAAUUUUAUUGAGAACUUUAGAUAAGGGUGUCGUAUUGUAUACGUCAUUUAAUAUUUAAUUUUGGUGAACUGAAUAGGGUGAGGUGAACCCAACUUUGAAAUGGUGUUUUGCCACUAUCAUACAAGAUGUCUAAUGAUAUACAACCUCGUGUUAUCAUAAGACAGGGUUGUGCGCAUCAACUUGCUGAGUAUAUCUACGGGCACUACCUAUAUGAUCUUGGAGUUUAUUUGAAAUAUAAUAUUCACUUGGAGACAGUGGAUAUAGUUAUAUGUCAAGAGAAGACUCACCAUUGGAAAGAAGAUAAUAGUAAUCUUCUCGUUUAUCUUUGGGGUCUAUUGGGUCAACCAAGGAUAAUUCUGUGGAGAUAUGAUAUCUAUUAUAACCUAGACGCAUGGCAUCCCAUGUACGAAGGUUUCCUUGAGCACUUCCCAAAGAUUUUAAUUUCUAAAACAGUAUUUGACUAUAAUUUUAUGCAAAGUACCAUUGUAAGGUUGUGGUCGAGGCACCAUGAGAGUUAAAUACAUUUGUAUUAAAACUCACAGUUAACUGUGGUCGUAUUCUAUACGACAGUUCAACAGUUGUAUAAAUGAAGUUGUAUUUGAAUUUUGUACCAUGUAUCUGGCGACUCAGAAUGGGUGAUGUAUACCUAAUUUUGGGGGCGUCACAUUUGGUAUCAGAGCUUAGGGAUAUGGUCGCUGGUGGAGAUAAGAGUCUAGAACUAGGAGGGGAGAGACGAGUUAUAUACUUCGCUAGUGUAAGACUUACCUAAGCUGAAAUUGUUUACUUGAUAAGUUGACAAAUUGUGAUAUGUCAAUUAACCUUUGUUUUGAAGCUAUAUUCUAGAAUGAUAUCUGAAAUACAGGAGAUGAGAAAUGGGAAAAUCAUGAUAGCGAGGAAAUUACCGGGAAGGUGCAAUCUGAAAAGAAAGCAAGGUAUUCUCAUUCCUUCAAAUAUCAGGUACGUACGUAAAUUUCGAGGGCGAAAUUUCAUAAGGAGGGGAGAUUGUAAGACCCCAGAUUUUAUGAAUAAAGAUUUAAUUUUCUCAAUUUUUUUAAUAUUAUGGUGUGGAUUUGAUAUAAUGUUAUAGUUGUGGGUAAUAUUUAUAAAUUUUGAAAAGUAUGCAAGUUGUUAUAAAAUAUUCGAUUAGUCAGGGAAUAUUCUUUUUUUCGGGGAAUAUCCGUACGACGGCACAAUCAUUGGUGGACCUCACGACGAAAGUAUUGUCGUAUUUAGAAAACGACAGAAUUAUCUUUUUAUAAAAUAACGGCGGAAGUGUUACCGUUAAAACUGUUGAACUACCCGGUAGUAAAAAUACAGUAAUACGCGUGGUUGCAUAGUAGCACACGGUGUUGGUUAUUAAUGCUUACGUGAUAAGUCACUCAAUUUUAUUUUAUCAGUAUUAUUAAUGUAAUAAAACAGAAAAAACUUUUUAUAUAAAACAGAAUAUUUUUAUAAAGUUAUUCUAUAAAUAGAAUAUAUUAUAUUCUAUUGUGCAUAGUGUUUUGCAUAGUAAAAUCUUUUUAUAUAAAACAGAAUACUUUUAUAAAGUUAUUCGUUUUAUUAGAUUAUAAAUAGAAUAUAUUAUAUUUUAUUUAAAAGAUUUUGCUUUAAAUAUGGACCGUCCGAUUAAAAGUAAAUCAAUCUGGACCGUUCAUGAAUUAGUUACUAUGCAGUCCAUUAUUCUAUAAAUAGAAGCUCAUUCCUUCAUUAUUUCUUACGAAUUCACUGAAACUCUAGAGAGAGAAACUAUAGAGAGAAUUCUUCUUCUAUAAUCUUGAGCGUAUUUCUUUAGAGUUUAAGAAAGCUUUGAGCGUAGUACAAGUUUUCUUUGAGUAUAUCCUCGCCCUACCAGUCGGAAUACUCUUCUUUCAAAGGUAAGGGAUAUUAUUUGUUAUACUCGUAAGGGAUAUUAUUUGUUGUACUCGUAAGGGGUAUUAUUUCUUUCGUAUUCAUGAAGAGAACUUCUGUUAUUCCAUUCUUUAUUAUUUUAUUGAAAUAACCUGUAUACGCGGUCUACCUUAUACUUGGUGAAAUUCUUCUGAUAUUCCAUUCUUUAUUAUUAUGUUGGAAUAACCUGUCUAUGCGAAGUAUCGCAUACAUGGUGAAAUUCUUCUAUUAUUCCAUUCUUUAAUUAUUCAGUUGGAAUAACCUGUCUGUGCAGUCUAUCGCAUGCAUGGUGAUUUCUGUUGUUAUUCCAUUCUUUAUUAUUCUAUCGAAAUAUCAUGUCUGUGCGUUUACGCCGGACCUGGUUCCAUUAUUUAUUAUUCUGUCGGAAUAUCCUGUCUGUGCAUUUACGCUGGACCUGGUUCCAUUAUUUAUUAUUCUGUUGGGAAUAACCUGUUUGUGCAGUCUAUCGCAUGCACGGUGAAUCCUUCUGUUAUUCCAUUCUUUAUUAUUCUGUUGGAAUACCCUGUCUAUGUGGAUUAUCACAUGCAUGGUAAAUGAUCCUUUGUAUUCAUUCCUUAUUAAAUUGUGAAAAUGAUCUGUAUACGUGGAUUACCGCAUGGCGGGUAAAAAUCCAUUUGCAGUUUCACAUAUUCUUUUAUACUCAGUUGGUUAAAGCUUUGACUUCUAUACUCUAUGAAAUUAGAGGAAUAUCCUUGACAUUUACGCUUCAUCCAGUAUCUUUUCAUGAAAAUAUUCUUUUGAGCAUUCUUGAAUUUUACUCUACAAAGAAGUAUCAUGUUGACAAUUUGGACAUUAUUGAGUUCAGGAUAAAUUAACUUAUAAAUCUUUAAAAUUAAUUCUUGAACUUGUUUUAUUAAAUUAUUAUGUCAUUGUCAAGAUGAGUUAUGUUGGUUAUUAUGUGAACACAGGAAAGUUUCUUAGAAAUCACAAACGGUUAAAAAUCAGCUUUUGGUGAAAAUGAAACAUGAAAUUCAAUUGACCGUAUCUCCUAUUAUGUUUCGAAUUUUUGAGUGUGGUCAAGUUCUAGAGUUAGAUAUAUGAGUUUCCUAACUUAUCCAAGUGGAAUCACUGGAAAAGGUAUUGUAGAUUUUCGUGUGUACUUAUUUUAGCAAAGGAGUCAAAAGUUGUAAAUUACAAAAAAGCUACUGCCCAGAAGUUUAAAAGGGUAUUUUGGCCACUUAAAUUGUGAGACAAAUUUUCGCCUUUUGGGACAUACAUAUAUAUGGUAUAAAGUACCUCCUGUCCAAAAAUGAGUUCAUUCCGACUUAAAAUGAGCAAGUUAUGACCAUUUCAAUAUUUAGGUUUUUCCGACGGAAAAUGCUAUAACCGGAGUUCUAUAACUCCGAUGACCAUGAAAUUUAAACUGGAAGCUCACGUUAACAUGUGUAAGAUCCUGCCAAGAUUUGGAAAUUUAUGGAGUUAACCUUGAGGUAGCUAAUUUUUUAAGGAAUUAAUUAGAAAUUGAUUUUUGAAAAAUAGUAAAUGAAAUUUAAAAAUUCUGAGAAAAAUAUAUGUUCAAUACGGGACUAUAUUCUGCUAAAUCCCAGAAAAGAAAUAUUUUUGGGACUGAUUUGAUAUUUUUCAUGAAAAUGGUUUAGUUACGAACAUAUGAGUUAAAUAUGUUAUGUGAAGUAACAAAGUUGGAAAAUAGGAUUUUAUGGCUUGGAAAUCCUAUAUAAGGUAUAUGCAGAUUUUUGAUGAGGGAUUUGAUCAUUGGUGAUGAAAUCUUAUGAGUAUGGCAUUUUUGAAUGAUUAAAUGCAUUAUUUGGUAAAGUGUAAACAAUUGAAAUAAAUUGUUUAUAAGUUUAAGAAGUGAUUAAAAUAUUGUUAUAAUAUUAAUAAUAUUAGAUUAUGAGUUUAUUAAGUGAUUGAUAAUAUUUGGAUAAAUUUAAAGUCUUUAAUAUUUAUCCUUGUUUUCGUUUGAUUAAUGCUUAUAUCAUUGUCAUCAUCCUCAUGUUUAUAUUAUGUUGAAAGUCAUAUGUGGCCUGUAGUGCAUAGAUGGACUUGGUAUGAUUAUGACCAGGGAUUAUUCGGUAUAAUCAUGACCAUAAUGUUACAAAUGAUGUGGAAAAAGUCCUCAUUGGCCCGUAGUGCAUUGAUGGACAGUUUUUGGUAUGAUUAUGGCUAUGGAUUCUCUUGUUCAUACGCAUCAGCUACAUGUCUGUAGCUUGAGCAACUUUAACUUUAUCAAUUAAAGUCGGUUCUACUUGUAUGCUUGAUAUCAUCACGUGGGUACUUGGAGCCUUUAUCUCUAUCUCCAUCCUUUGCAAGUCAUACAAAAUGGGCCUUUGUGUUAACAGCAUUACACUUGUACCCGCAUAUCAUCUUCUACUCAAUGCGUCAGCUACCAUGUUUGUUUUUCCAGGAUGGUAUUGGAUGGUAUGGUCAUAAUCUUUCAAUAACUCGAGCUAACGUCGUUGCCGCAUGUUGAGUUCCUUUUGGGUGAAGAAAUAUUUGAGACUUUUAUUGUCUGAAUAUAUUUCCACUUUCUCCCCAUAUAAAUAGUGCCUCCAGAUCUUUAGCAUGAAAAUGACUGCUGCCAACUCUAGAUCAUGACUAGGAUAAUUCCUCUCAUACUCUUUAAGUUAUCGCGAGGCAUAGGCUAUGAAUUUCCCAUGUUGCAUGAGAAGACAUCCUAACCCUUUGCCCGAAGCAUCACUGUAGAUAACAAAUCCAUCUGAACCAGACGGUAUUGUCAGAACAGGUGUCGAAAUAAGUCUCCUCUUGAGAUCUUGGAAACUCAUCUCGUAUUCAUCGCUCCAUACGAAUUUUGUAUCUUUACGAGUCAGCUAAGUUAACGGAGUAGCGAUUCGAGAAAAUCCUUCCACAAAUCUAUGAUAAUAACCAGCUAAGCCCAAAAAGCUACGUACUUUGGUCACCGAUUUCGGUUACUCCCAACUUUGUAUUGCUUCAAUCUUCGUCGGGUCAAAAGAUACUCCAUGUUUUGACACCACGUGCCCAAGGAAUGCUACUGCCUCAAGCCAUAACUCGCAUUUCUUCAGCUUGGCAUAUAACUUGUUAUCACGAAGCCUUUGCAGUACCAGCUUCAAAUGGCGCUCAUGAUCUUCACGGCUUUUGGAAUAGAUGAGGAUGCCAUCAAUAAAGACAACAACGAAUUGAUCCAAAUAUUCCUUGAAUACUCGGUUCAUCAUAUCCAUGAAAGCAGCAAGAGCAUUAGUUAAUCCAAAAGACAUUACUAAGAAUUCAUAAUGCCCGUAACGAGUUCUGAAGGCUGUCUUUGGAAUAUCCUCAGUUUUAACCUUCAGCUGAUGAUAUCCAGAAUGAAGAUUGAAUUUUUGAAAAGAAUUGUGUUCCUUGCAACUGGUCAAACAGGUCAUCAAUGCGAGGUAGUAGAUACCUAUUCUUGACGGUGACAUGGUUCAAUUCUCGAUAGUCAAUACAAAGUCGCAUACUCCCGUCUUUCUUCUUUACAAAUAAAAUAGGAGCACCCCAAGGAGAUGUACUAGGACGAACGAAACCGAUGUCCAACAACUCAUGUAGUUGGACCUUUAACUCAUGAAGUUCAAUAGGAGCCAUUUGAUAUGGGGUUUUAGAAAUGGGCUUUGUAUCAGGUUCAAGGUCAAUAAAGAAUUCAACUUCACGUUCUGGGGGUAGACCGAGAAGUUCUUCAGGAAAUACGUCAAAAAAUUCUCUAACAACAGAAAUAUUAUUCAAAUAUGACGUGUUUUUGUUCAAGUCUAUGACAUGGGCUAAGAAAGCAUGACAUCCAUUUUUUAAUAAGCGAAUAGCUUUAUGGCUUGAUAUGACAGUGAUUGACCUUAGAGGUUUGGUUGCUUGAAUUCGCAUAACAGGUUGGUUAGGAAUAUGAAAACUAACAACCUUACAAAAACAAUCAAUUUUAGCAUGAUGAGUGGUUAACCAAUCAAUCCCUAAAAUCACAUCAAAUGCAAGUAUUUUCAAAGAAAUAAGAUCAACAGGUAAUGUGAUGGUACCAACUUGGAUCAAACAAGAUUUAUAAACAAUGGAUGCAAUGAAAGUUUCUCCUAACGGAGUCUCCACAGAUAAGAAGUGUAAUUUCUCCGGAGUCAAGUUUAAACGUUGAGCAAAAGUAGGAGAGAUAAAUGAAUGGGUAGCACCGGUAUCUAAUAAGGUAUAAACUUUGCAAGAAUUUACGAUUAGCUUACCAGUGAUCACCUCGUUUUGGUUCCUCACAUUUUGACCAGUCACAACAAACGCCAUUCUAGGAAACGUUGACUUUGACAUUUCUGGGACAGCCUUUUGAGUCACCAUCCCCACUGGACUUGGUUUCGCUACCGUACAAUCUCGAGCGAUAUGUCCUUCCUUUCUAUAAUUAUAGCAUACCUUGAACUGUUGUGGACAGUUUGGGCUGAUGUGUCCCUCUUUUCCACAUUUAUAGCAUACGGCCGGUGGUCGUUCUCCUCCCUUAAAACCAGUUGCUGCUGGUGCUGACGUCUUCACAGUGUCAUUGUUGAAUCUCCUCUUUUUAAAAUCUCCCCCCGACUCGCUUCUUCUAUUUUCAUGGUCACGAUUACCACCAGAGUGGUUACCGCUUUUGUCCGAAUGUUCUCCUCCUCGCUGGUUUUCAUUGCUCCGAUGACUACUGCCACCGGUAUGACCCUCGUUAUGGUCCCUCGGUUAAACGUACUCGUUAUCUUGCUCUAAUAAUUGACCCCUAUUGACAACAUCUCAAUAUAAAGAAAAUUUAUGAGAGAUAAGAUAUUGCCGAAUCUCGGGUUUUAAACCUCUCAGAAACAUCCUCGUCAUUCGUUCCUCAUUCUCUACCAAAUGAGGUGCAAACCUGGAUAACUCUGUGAACUUCACCUCGUACUGGGACACCGUCAUGUUGUUUUGUUCUAAUCUAAUAAACUCCACCUCCUUCAUAUGGUGAAUACUUUCAGGAAAGUACUUAUCAUUGAAAAGUUUCUGAAAUGUUUCCCAAGACAUGCUGAGUGCGGCAGGCUGAGUACGCUUCACAGAUGUGACGCCCCCAAAAUAGGUAUACAACACCCAUUCUGAGUCGCCAAAUACAUGGUACAGAAAGCAAAAUAUAACUUCAAUAAUACAAUUGUCGUGCAAAAUACGACAACACAAACUGUGAGUUUAAAUACAAAUAUUGUAUACUAGAGAGUAUACAAACUCAAAAGGAGUCCUCAUUACAAUUAUUCAAACACUAUUUUACAGAAAUAGUGAGGACUGCUAAAACAUCUUUCUAGAACCAUCACUCCAUACCCCGACUAGUUCCUGCUAUGUUCUCACCUCCUGAGAAAAAUUGAACAAAAAGGGAAAGGGUGAGCUCAACUAGCCCAGUAAAAAAUAUUAUGACUAAGAUAAUAUACAACAAAUUAUCGUUAGUCUUCAACAUGGAAAAAUCUGAUAAAACAUAAUAGACAACAAGUUUUAGAUCAACAACUGCAACAGAACAACAAUCCAUUAGAAGAGUCAAGUAGAGAAAGAAUUCUACUAUCUUCUAAGAUUUAAAAGUCCAUCAUCAAUAUUUUAUCCCCGUAACAACAAUCAAUAUACAUCUUUAAUCAAAUAUCCAUCUUUGCACUACAGGCCAAAGAUAUUCAUUUGUAUCACCAGUUGGUCAUGUUCAUCUCAACACCUGUUCAUCUUUCCACUAUGGGCCAAAGAUAUUCAUUAGGUAAUCAUUCAUCUUUGCACUACAGGCCAAAGAUAUUCAGUAAUAUCAUCAUUUAGGACUGAGGAUGAUGAAAAAUAUUUUAAAGGAACGAAUCCAGUGAAACAAAAUAACAAAUGUUAGAUAUUCGUAUUACAGUUUAUCCAAGAUCAAUAAUACUCCAUAAUAACCAAUUUCGAAGCAAAAUUCAAGAAUAAAGAUCAAAACAUGGAUACAAUCAAAGAUAAUAACCA
rnacentral:lncRNA from 1 species